UUCGGUCAUGAAGAAAAUUUAACACCAGAGUUUUAUAACAAAAGAACAACAGAGAAAACACUAGCGGAAGACUUCGUCGGGGUCGGACGUCCGGGCGAGGCCAGCCAGAACAUCACUGAAUCCUCUCCUCACCGUCCGAGGAGGGGUCCCACUCGACCGUCCAGCCUGGCGGGAGCUGGGGCGGCCAAGCACCAACAAGGGAGGGGUCGGGAACUGCAACUUCACCUGAAAAGCAGGAGCCACAACAAGGCUGAGCUACUAAGCUCAACAAGACUUAACCGGGGAGGAGCCAACUACUCUUCCAACUAGACAUGCAAGGAUUCUUGGCUGAGGGGUUUGAUUUGCCAAAAGCACUAAGCAACCUGUUUUCCAGUUUUAGCUCCGGUUCUAUAUUUACUUACCAGUCUAGGUUGUGCAACCUAUUCUAAGCAAACAUCGAGCCAAACAAGUGUAUAGAUAGAAACAACAACAUUGCCAUCAUCAGAUUCCUCAUUUACUCAGGGUGACAUGGCGAUCAAGUAAUCUCAAACUGUGAGAGGCAGACGAAUCGAUUCGAGUUCUUUAACCAUGCAUGGUGAACCUAGCCCCACGACAUCCGCGCACCCGGAGGUCGCUUCCUGUGUCGACCUUCCCCAUCGAUCCCCUAACCCGUGUCGGGCCCAUUUCCUUUGGUGCAAGGCUCCACAGACCCGGCCUCUGCCGUCCUGUGACCACUCUUUGCCACCACGUGCGACAACCAGCAGGGGAAACUCCGUUCCAAGAACAAUGGGGCGACCGUUCACGUCUAGGUUCAAUCAGGUAUUAGGCUUCCUCAUCCCAUACUAAGUAUGAGGCUAGUACUUUCAAACACUUGAUCACGAACACCACCACUGUCGGGCCUUAGCAAGUUUUCAUAGACAGACGGGGCAACCAUCCAACCACCAAAGAGUUACCAAACCCUGCCCCGUCCACCGUCCUUACAGUUGUAACAGGAGAGUAAAACAUGCAACUCCUACAACUCGCGAGUGACAGGAGAUCACUCGGCUUUUACCGUCUCCUAAUUAAGCAAUGCAGCUAAUCGGUCCAACAGCUAGUGCUCAUAUCAAGGGUUACUAAGUCAUGCAUCUAGGGUUUCACACAACUCCUAAACGUAAAUGCACAAACGUGCUAUUCGGAAGGCAUGUGCAAGUUUGACAAGAACACAUAGGAUCUUCAUGCAACCGGGGCUUGCCUGCAAACAAGGAAGGUGGAAACUGCUCGACUUCGGGGGCGGCUUCGACUUCAGCGGGCAGGAACUCGGCUACUGCUUCUUCUUCGGGCGUCGGGUGCAGCUCGUAGAAGCCGUCAGCGAGGUGCAGCUCUACACGAAUGCAAUGCAAGGGUUAGCUUAAACGUUUUGAUUUGACAGCAACACUGGCUCUCCUGAUCCCAGAAACUUGCGACAAAGAGCAGGAGGUGGAGACUGUUUGAGGGAGCUGAUGAUGAUCAACAGGUAAGGGUAGGAAGGAACUAGUGGUCUGAUCCUUGAACUAGAGGAUGUGAUAACAGGGAUCCUCAGACGUAGGCGCUGAGGGGUUCCCACGUUUUACACUUACACCCUCAAGUUGAAGAAAAAGAUCAUAGCCAGACCCUCGGGUGAGGCGGACAAGGGUCGGCAAACAGACAGGGUCGGACGAGACGGAACUGGGGUCGGGCGGGUAGAAGGGGUCGGGCGAAGCAGACUUAGGGUCGGCACUCACCUUCUUCCUGAAAGGAAAGCUUGGGGUCGGGAAGAGGCAGACUUGGGUACGGAACUAAAGCUUUGGAACAGGGACUAAGGCCGGCGAUGCUCCGGCGGCGGUGCUUCUUGCGGAUCACAAGAGAGCUCUUGCGCAGCACAAGGGAGCAGGCUGCGGGGUGAUUUGGAUGAACUGAGAAGGAACUGGGAGAAGAACUUCUCAAGACUGGGCGGAUGGCACUAGGAGCUUGAGCAGGGAGCUAGAGGGAACUAAGGGCAACAAAGGCGGAGGGAACUCCGGCGAUGGGGGCAUUCCUUUUAUAGCUGCGGGAGCAGAGGAACGGAAGCGUCGCGGAGAGAGAGAAGGGAAGUGACACGAAGGCCAGGGAGAAGCAAUGGAGUGCUCUGCCGUGGCGGCGAUUGAGCAAACCGGGCGGUGCAACAGAACUCCGGGGGUGACGCCAGCGAUCAUUGCGCUACUCCGUCAGGGCGGCGUAGGCGCGGGUAGACCGGUAGUUGAGAUUUGGCGGAAAGCGGGCGUCGCCGUGCGGAAGAGGUGAUAGAAGUGACCAGUUAAACGGCGCUAGGAUCGAGGGCGCACAGGUGGGAGAACAAGCGGACGCGGCGCGGGGGAGAGCGCGGAACAACAGAUUGUCGGGCAGCGUCUGACAGGGCGGGGGAAAGGAACUGUCGCGGCCGCGGUCGUGGUUGGCGGUGGGGGAAUCGUCGUGUAGCGACGACCGGGCGGCGCAACUGUUGCUGGAAAGGACGGAAAAGACGGGCGACAUCGGUCUCCGGGGCUGAGAUCUGGUAUCGUGAUGAUGGGCGCGGGGAGCGAGGCUCUGCAGAAAGGGGUGCAGAGGGCUUCCGCUGCUAUUGGGGAAAAGGGCGCGGGAACCCACUCGGUCGCUUGCCAGAGACAAAACUGAGCGGUGGCGUCGGAGAAGACGAGCCACGUGGCAGGAAAGCUCUGAGGCGGCCAUGCAACUCGAGUGCGGCUGAUGCGGGGGAUCUGGAAAAGAUCUCGCGGGUCCACCGGGGAAAAGAUCGGACGGGUGAGGAAGAUUAGCAGGAUCCGACGGAUGGCUGGACUCGCCAGGGUCGGGAACAGGAACGAAGCGGUAGGGGUCGGAUCUCAGGGGUCGGAACUGGCGGAAGACUGAGCACUUGGGUGCGGUCAACAGCACAACUGACUGAGGUGAAGGGCUGAGAUCAAAACCUAACUGGGAGAGAUUAGGGGUCGGUCGUUACAGGGCUGCAAUCGGAACUAAGCAUCAGCAGAAGCAUCCUGCAAAGGCCAACACCACAGGCAGCGUUGGGUGCGGGCACGACCUUCUACUCGAGAUCCUCGGCGAUGUAGUCCGGGUCUUCCUCUAAAGCAACAAAACAAGGGUGAGUACGAAAGUAUUCAACAAGUUCAACCCCAUCCACGGAAGGGGAUACAAGCAAGAAUAUGCACAGGAUAUAACAAGGAUGAGGUUAAGGUUCAUUUGCAAUAAAGCUAGAUUUUCAACACAUGCAAGGGUUCAUUUUCAAAAGAGUUUUCGCAAAGCAUUUCCUUUAGUAACCGGAACAUUAAGUGGGGUUGAUCCUACACAAAGGAUCCAAAUUUUAUUGCUAUCGGACUCCCCGUCCGCCAUAGCUCAUGGCACAACUGCCGGACACUUCCAAAAUCCAACACACGCCAUAAAAACCAUCCAUCUCCAAGUGCUAGUUAUGUGACCAAGCCGUAACUCGUCCAAUAUCGUGGACACGGCUACCCGAAUAGGUUUUAGCUCUGCAGAGGUCGUACACUUUUCCCACAAGUAGGGUACCGCAGCACGAUCACCUUAGUGCCGGUGCGGAUCCUAACAAAGCCAUUACCCACCUUAGCUAAGACUGACUAGUCCACACGGAAGCAACCAAGGGGUUAACGACCUACCAACGAGGUCGUAACCGGGACCUAAGUCACAAAGAUCUUACUCCUUUUCCAUGGGCUCCCGUUGCUCACCAGCUCACCUGAAGACUAACAGUUUUUAGCUAGUGGGAUUUAUGCUAAGCCUUUGCCGCAUACAAUGGUUGAGUGGUUGCACGAAGGUUGGGUUAGGCAAGAUGACACAUCAACUCGGUCCUUAACCAUGACAACAUGGAUAUCUCCCAACCUUGCUCAACCACCAAGGUACGAGCCCAACAUAAUGGCAUUUCACACAUGAAACACCCAUCCAUCUCAUCUAAGCAUCUCUUUCCUUUACCUCCAAAGAACCCAAUUUCCCUUUUUAAAACACUCACACAUUUAUUCUUUAACAAAACACAUUGUGGUCAUGAUUGAAUUGAGCAUUCUAGCAGUAAUUAUCAUCCAAACAGAGCAAGUCAUAUUUAGAGAUAAUUAUAGGACAAGCAAGGAAUAAUCAUAACAAUCAACGGGUGGCUAUCCAACCAUGUUUCAGCGGUAAAAUAAUAUGCACUUUAUAAAAAUAGGAUAAUAGGUUGUGUUUGAAAAACUAGGAUAAAUAUGCAUCAAAGGGUGAGACUAGACUUGUCGUUCUCAAAGCCUUCCGGGAGUUCCUGGUCGCGGUACUGGUCCUCGAGCUCGGGCUCGCGGUGAAACUCCUCCUCGUGCUCCUCCUCGGGUACUCCGCGAUCUACGGCACACAAAAUCGAGCACACAAUAAAUAAAAGAGAAUUAAAAUUUUUCCCAUUGAGCUACGAAUAGAAAAUGCGAACGGAAAAUUGAAGGAGUGAGUAUUUUCAUGAAAUUGCCUCGGUGUAAGUAUAUGGUAGGAGGCCAUGGUCGAAUUUGGGAUCAAUUGGAGGAAGUUUGACGCAUGAAAUGACGAGUUAAAGGAGUGUUAGGGGCUUAAAACAAGGUUUAGGACUGAACUGCGAGAAGUAGGGACCUAUUUGUAAUUAUUUAUAAAAGGUAGGAGGGCGUAUCUGCGAGACUUCUUUGAGGGAGUUGGAAGGGCCGGUUUGCAAAUAAGGGAACUGGCGGGUUAGAUCCAAAUUGAAGGGAGAUUUUCCCUUUCUUCUUCCUUGGUCCGGUACAGGAGGUGGGAAGGGAGGAAACAGGGGGGGGGGGGGUCGGCCGGGCCACGCUGCCGGUGGCCGAGUGGUGGAGGGGGUAGAGGAGGUCGAGGGGACUCCAUUUGAGGCCUCACCUCGGGUGGAUGGUGUUGGAGGAGGGGGGGUGCCGGCACAGUCAAGGAGCAGGGGCCACGGGGGUGUGGGCGGUAGGCAAGGGGGCAGCGCCGGUGGUGGUGUGGAGGCGGCAGGGGCUCGGCCCCCUUUUUAUAGGUGCCGGGAGGAGCUCGACAACCGGCGGCCUUCAAUGGAGGCCGAGAAUCCCGGCUGAUGGCGUGCCAAAGUGGAGUUUCGCGUGAAUGGCGUGGUGGGGCCCGGCUCGGUCGAUGAGGAGCAUAGGGGCGACGACCGACGGCCGACGAUGGGACGCGGGUGGCCAGCCGAGUAGCUCGGCGCGGGCGGCGGCACGCGGCAUGACACGUGCGGGGCCGAGCGCGAGAGCGGCCAGGCACGGCGCGGGGCCAGGCGUGGGGUUGGGCGCAGGCGCGGGCGGCCGGGCGAGCGGCUAGCGCCAGGCGCUAGGCGCUAGCGCCAGGCGCCAGGAAGGGUGCGCCAGGAAUGAAGGGAAGGAGAGAAGGAAAACGAAGGAAGAAGGAAGAGAGAAGAAAGAGAAGCAAGGAAGGGAGAAAAAGAAAAGAGGAAAAGGGGAGGGAAAAAAAGGAAAAGGAAAAAGGAAGGGGAAAAAUCAGCGAAAAUUACGGAAUCGGUCGGGCACGCGCGACGGAUUUGAUGGGCACGCGGUGAAAUUUGCGGGGAACGGAAAAGAUGACUGUCGACGUUGGGUGCCAGGACGGCAGGGUCGCCGGGAUGGAAAAGAUUUUCGGGAGCUCAACGGUCGGAAGAUUUUGAAACAAAUUUUUAGCGGGUGAUUUGAGUUAGUAAAUUCUACGGGUGUUACAAACCUACCCCACUUACAUUAAAUCUCAUCCUCGAGAUUCAACUGAGUCCUGAAAAGAUAGGGAAACUCCUUCUUUAACGCAUCCUUGCGUUCCCAAGUAGCUUCCUCUUCACUAUGCCUACUCCAUUGGACUCUGCAAUUCCGUACCACCAAAUUCCUCGUUCUUCUGGUGGCAGUGUCUAGAAUCUUAACAGGUACCUCCUGAUACUGGAGAUCUUUUUGCAAGUCUAUCGUUUCCACCGGUACUUGCUCUUCAGGUACUCUCAAGCAUUUUCUUAGUUGGGAGACAUGAAAUACUGGAUGUAUAUCUGACAUUUCUUCGGGCAGUUGGAUACGGUAUGCUACAACUCCAACUCUCUUUAGCACCUGGUACGGUCCUAUAUAUCGAGGGGCUAAUUUUCCUUGUACUUGAAAUCUUCGGGUACCUCAAAUCGGGGAGACCUUGAGGUAGACGAAGUCUCCUUCAUUGAAACUCAAUUCCCAUCUCCUUUUAUCUGAGUAGCUCUUCUGUCUAGACUGCGCUGCCUUCAGCUUCUCUCGGAUUUCAGCCACUCGGUCUUCUACCUCUUUGAUAAAGGCAGGUCCCACUAGAGUGCGCUCUCCUAGUUCUGACCACAUCAACGGGGUCCUGCACUUCCUUCCGUAGAGGGCCUCAAAUGGCGACAUGCCUAAACUGGCUUGGUAACUGUUGUUGUAUGAGAACUCUGCAUAGGGUAAACUCUGUUCCCAGUCUUUGCCAUAGGUAAGGACACAUGCUCUCAACAUAUCUUCCAUAAUUUGAUUUACUCUCUCUAUUUGGCCAUCGGUCUAGGGGUGAUAGGCUGAACUGAAAUCCAAUUUGGUGCCCAUGACUUAAUGCAGACUUUUCCAGAACCUAGAGGUAAAUUGGGUUCCUCUAUCCGAAACAAUUCUGCUAGGCACACCAUGUAGCUUUACUAUGUUGUCCACAUAGAGCCGAGCUAGUCUUUCUCCACCGUAAGUGGUCCGUACAGGUAAGUAGUGAGCAACUUUAGUGAGUCGGUCCACUAUUAACCAUAUGGAGUCAUUUCCUUUUUGAGUCUUGGGUAAACCUACUACAAAAUCCAUACCAAUUUCAUCCCAUCUCCAAACCGGGAUGGGUAGUGGUUGCAGCAAACCUGCUAGCUUCUGGUGUUCGGCCUUGACCCUUUGGCAAAUAUCACAAUGAGCAACGAACUAGGCUAUGUCCGCUUUCAUCUCAUUCCACCAGUACUUCUUCUUUAAGUCCAUAUACAUCUUGGUGGAUCCUGGAUGGAUGGAGUAUGCUGACUUAUGGGCCUCAUCCAUGAUGGUCUGUCGGAAAUCACCUUCCUUGGAUACACAAAUCCUAUCCUUGUACCACAAGGUUCCUUUGUUAUCCACUCUAAAUCCUGGGGCUUUAUUCUCUCCGGUUUGCUUGCGAAUCCUUACUAAGUCCUGAUCUGAACCUUGGGCUUCUCGGAUUCUAUCCUUCAAAGUGGGCUGAACACUUAGCUUGCAGCUGGUAUUCUGAGGAAUAAUGUGCACAUUUAGCCAAGCCAUUUCCUCUUGCAAACAGGUAUCCUUGGGUCUGAUCUGUCCAUAGGAUUUUCUGCUUAAGGCAUCAGCUACCACUUAUCCUUGCCGGGGUGGUACUGGAUUUCCAGAUUAUAAUACUUGACCAGCUCUAACCACCUUCUUUGCCUCAAAUUCAAAUCUGGUUGGGUGAAAAUAUAUUUUAGACUCUUGUGGUCCAUGUAAAUCUCACAUUUAUUCCCAAUUAAAUAGUACCUCCAGAUCUUGAGGGCGUGCACUACGGCUGCAAAUUCUAAAUCAUGGGUUGGGUAAUUCUGUUCAUGAGGCUUAAGCUAGCAAGAAGCAUAUGCCACUACUUUCCCAUCCUGCAUAAGGACGCACCCUUACCCUUGUCAGGACGCAUCACAAUAGAUGACGAAGUCCCGCUGAAUAUCCGGUAGGGUUAAUACUGGGGCGGUCGUCAAUCUUUUCUUCAGUUCUUGAAAACUCCUCUCACAUGACCCUGUCCAAGUGAGUUUCUUAUCCUUCCUAAGUAGUCCCGUCAUGGGCUGGGCUAUCUUGGAAAAUCCUUCAAUAAACCUCCGAUAGUACCCAGCUAAACCAAGAAAGCGUCUGAUUUCACUAACAUUGGUGGGCUACUGCCAGUUGGAAACAGCUUCAACUUUCUCAGGAUCAACUGCUACUCCUUUUGUGGUCAAAAUAUGACCCAGAAAUGCCACUUUCUUGAGCCAAAAUUCACACUUGCUGAAUUUAGCAUAGAGUCGGUGGGCUCUCAAUUUCUCUAACACCACCCGUAGAUGUUGUUCAUGCUCUUGGACACUCUUGGAGUAAAUAAGUAUGUCGUUGAUAAAGACUACGACAAACUUAUCUAACUCCUCCAUAAACACCUUGUUCAUGAGAUUCAUGAAGUAAGCAGGAGCAUUGGUCAGUCCAAAAGACAUCACUGUGAACUCAAAUUGUCCAUAGCGGGUGACAAAGGCUGUCUUUGGGAUGUCGCUUUCCUUGAUCUUGAGCUGAUGGUAUCCUGACCUCAAACCUAUUUUGGAGAAAUACUUGGCUCCUUUCAGCUGAUCAAACAGAUCAUCUAUUCUGGGGAGAGGAUAUUUAUUCUUGAUAGUGACCUCAUUCAGUGCACGAUAAUCCACGCACAUCCUCAUGCUCCCAUCUUUCUUUGACAAAGAGCACUGGGGCUCUCCAUGGGGAUGAGCUAGGUCUGAUAAAGCCACUCUGUUGCAGUUCCCCUAACUGUUUCUUCAGCUCUGCCAACUCAGAUGCUGCCAUUCUAUAGGGUCUCUUGGCUAUAGGGGAGGUUCCAGGAAUAAGGUCGAUUACAAACUCUAUAUCCCUGUCUGGGGGCAUUCCAGGUAGUUCUUUAGGAAAGACAUCAGGGUAUUCACUUACUACCUAGACUCCUUCUAUGGCCUUGGCCUCCAUACUAAAAACCAUCAGGUCGGGUCCACUCCCCCGAGUGUGACAAGUUACUUGCAUACCGUCCUGAUUGACCAGAUGUACUAUCUUAUCUGCACACCCUAUGUGACCAUCAUGUAGACUUAACCAAUCCAUUUCAAGGAUCACAUCUAUCCCCUUAGACUCAAGUACUAUUAAGUCUGCUAAGAAUUCUACCCCACUUAAAUUGAUCAUUACCCGGGAACAACCUAGUCGACACUGGAUGUCGGCUCCAAGCGUUUGGGUUAAUAGGGGUAACUUUAGUAGUACUAUAGGUAUGUGGUGCUUAUCCACAAAGCUUGAUGAUAUAAAAGAAUGUGAUGCUCCAGAAUCGAAGAGUAUUGUUGCCAAGACUGAGCUGACUAGAAACUCACCGAGUACCACGCCCUGAGCCUCUCGAGCCUCUUGCGCGCUGAUGUGCUUGACACGUGCUUGUCCAAAUGACUACUGGGGCGGCCUUAUCUACUGGCUAGUGUUGUUGCUGGGGUUGUUGUUGCUACGGAUUGGGACACGGUUGGCUCCUGACACUGCUGCCCUCGGUCCCGUUACUGCGUUGGAGAAGGCCGACGUUGCUGGCUUGGUGGCGUAUGGGCAGUUGGCGAUGAAAUGCCCUAGCUCACGGCAGUUCAAGCAUGCCCUGCUAUUGUUGGUGACUUGGCUGGCAUUGUUCUGUGGGGUCUUGACAGGAAUCUGGCUUCUGAAUGGGACAUUAGGCUGAUGAGAACUGGAGGCUUUGGGACUGGGUUCGGUACUGCAUAGAAGCUUGGGAUCUGGGCAAUGGGUGACCAAAGCUCCUCGGCUUCUGGAACCAGUCCUGCUGGUGAGCCUUGCUUUCCAGGAACCGACGCUUGUUGUCCCUUCGUUCGUCUGCUUUGGCUCUCUCAGUCAGGAUGGCCAUGUUCAUCAGAGUGUUGAAGUCGGGGUAGAUCUGAGGAGUAAGCAGGGUCCUCAGUUCUGCAUUCAAACCCUUCUUGAACAUAUCCUACUUCUUCUCGUCCUUGUCCACUUUCUCUGGAGCGUAACAGGCCAGCUCCAUGAACUAAUAGGUGUACUCCUCCACAGACUUGUUGCCUUGGCGCAGUUCACGGAACUCAUCCGCCUUGCGCUUCAUGGUGGCCGCGGGAAUGUGAUAGCGGUGGAAUUUUGUCAUGAACUCAUCCCAGGUGAUAGUGGAGGCAUCCUGGGUGGCGAUGUAGUAGUUCUCCCACCAAGCUAGAGUAGUCCCAUUGAGCUGGUAGGCAGCCAAGAGAACCUUAUCCCUGCUCUCACAACCAAAUGGCUCUAGCUUCCUUUGAAUGACCCGCAGCCAGUCAUCUGCGUCCAGAGGGUUGACAGACCCGCCAAAAGUGGGUGGCUUGGUCCGGAGGAAGUCCGUCAACUUUUUGUUCAUGCUCUGACCGCGGGGUCUCUAGCGAGUAAUGGCACUGGCCAAGGCUUCCAGCAGAAGGGUCUGGUUGUUCAUCACUUGCAGUAGAUCAAUGACCAGUGGGGGCGGUGGCUGCUGUGCUCCCAUUUGGCUUUCUCCCCUACCCUCAGGCUGAUUCACCUCCUGCUCCUCAUGGUGCACUACUGGUAGUGGUCCGUGCCCUUCUGGCUGUCUUUCUGCACUAGGGGUGGCACGAGCUUGACUUGGGGAGGUCCUGGUGGCACGCAUGGGAGGCAUCUGCAGAUUGAGAGAACUUUCAUGAGACUUGGAUUUGGACUUAAAGUGAUGUUUAGUUAAUUAGCUCAUGUUUUAGAAAAGACAGAAUCCACCUCCUGUUGACAAGCACACAGACUAACAAAUAACCAGCACAAAUGAUUUUAUUAUUUUACCGGGGCGGUUACAAAACUUGGGGUGAAGCCAAAACACGCAGUACACGACCGGUACAACAACAAAACUGGGGUACAACUCUAUACUCAGGAUGACUUCUCGGCUAGGGGUACAACUCUAGGUGGGGCAUUCUACUCGUGGGGCGAUUCCUCAUCCUGAGCGGAGUGGUUUUCAGGCAGGAUGAGGAGUGCCAGCACAUCAUCCUCCACCGAGGGCAGGACGACGACUUCAGAGUCUCUCCUGGAAGUCUCCGUAGGUGGUGGCGCUGGCAGAGCAUCAGGGCUCUUCCGUUUGCCGGACCCUUGGGCAAUGGGAAUCCCAUCCAAGAUCGGGGCCUCGUCGUCCUCAACAACCCGCAUCUUCCUUCUCGCGCGGUUCGCGAGAUGGGCAUCCUUCAAUUCCUGAGAGUGCCGAUCCUCGGCCCCCUUAAGGGCCUCAAUGGCGACGGCCUCGUUACUUUGGGCGGCCGCUGCUCGUGCCUCAGCUGCUGCCAACCUCACCUAGAGCCUCCUCACCAUAACCUUUGCGUCCUUGGCUCUACGAAUCUGUUGCUUCAGUUGUGCGAUCUGCUCAUCAUAGAGCUCAUCCAAGGUGAGAAGGUAGGCAGCCAUGUGGAGCACGGUGGGGUCAUCCUCGCGUUGUCCACGUCCUUCCAAAGUCCUAACCCGGGCCAGCCAAACCGGGUGGUUCUUCUUGACAGGCGGGUAAAAUCUCAUCUGUGUGCGGCCGAUGUGCCUCUCAUAAAUCUGGCACAGGUAGCGCAGAGCCUUACGGGCUGCCACCUGGUAAGUGUCUUUCCACCGAAAACCAGUGGCAGACACAUUCUAUGGUUGAAUGUCGGGGUAGCGAUUGCUCCUGCCGACGUAGAUGGUCAUCUCACACCGGAGUGUCCCACGGUCUUCAUACUCCCUGCUGGUGUACUCCGGGCGCUCAUAAAUCUCGAGGCGGUCCAUGCAGGCGAAUAACAACCUGGGAAAACCGGGCUCCUCCAGGCAGUGGCUGUUGACCCAUCCUUCUUCUUCCAUCUGGAAAGAAUCGAGGUGUAAAUCAGUUUUGCAAAUGAGCAAGGGAAGCAAGAAAUUUUCUAAAUCAUUUAUUUUAGUCAAAAAGGUUUUUUCAAUCCUAAUGGUCGCGUCCUACAGCCAAUGACGGCUCUGAUACCACCUGAAGCAUCCUCACAUAAGUAGAGACUAAAUGUGAUACAAAUAUCAGUCCAGGAGGCUGAUAACACAUUUAUUCAAUAGAUGGUUCAAAAACCGUACAACUUCUGAAGGAGCGGGCGGGCAAGCAACACCCAAAAAAGAACUAAACCAACAACGAUACAAAUCCAAGUUGCAGUCCAGUCAAACUCUGGGCUGCAAUCGGAACUAAGCGUCAGCGGAGGCCGAGAAUCCCGGCCGGUGGCGUGCCGGAGCGGAGUUCCACGUGAAUGGCGUGGUGGGGGCCGGCUCGGUCGACGAGGAGCACAGGGGCGACGACCGGCGGCCGGCGAUGGGACGCGGGCGGCCAGGUGAGCAGCUCGGCGCGGGCGGCGGCGCGUGGCACGGCACGCGCGGGGCCGGGCGCGAGGGCGGCCAGGCGUGGCGCGGGGACGGGCAAGCAGCACCAGGUGCUAGCGCCAGGCGCCAGGAAGGAAGGGAAGGAGAGAAGGAAAAAGAAGGAAGAAGCUAGAGAGAAGAAAGUGAAGGAAGGAAGGGAAAAAAGAAAAGAGGAAAAAAGGGGAGGGAAAAAAGGGAAAAGGAAAAAGGGAGGGGAAAAUCAGUGAAAAUUGUGGAAUCGGUCGGGACGCGCAACGGAUUUGAUGGGCACGCGGUGAAAUUUGCAGGGAACGGAAAAGAUGACUGUCGACGUUGGGUGCCGGGACGGCGGGGUCGUCGGGAAUGAAAAGAUUUUUCGGGAGCUCAACGGUCGAAAGAUUUUGAAACAAAUUUUUAGCAGGUGAUUAGAGUUAGUAAAUUCUACGGGUGUUACACUCGAGGUCUCCAGCUCUGAGAGCCCAACGCUCCGCUCUCGACUUGAUUGCAUCAAGUCUCUUCGAGUUAUCACAACUCGUCGGCUAUUCACAGCCACUUGAGCUCUCCAGCUCUGCGAGCCCCAGCACUCCGCUCUCGACUUUAUUCCAUCAAGUCUCUUUGAGUUAUCAUAACUCGUUGGCUAUUCAUAGCCACCCGAGCUCUUCGGCUCUGCGAGCCCUAGUGCUCUGCUCUCAACUUGAUUCCAUCAAGUCUCUUUGAGUUAUCACAACUCGUCAGCUAUCCACAGCCACUCAAGCUUUUCAGCUCUACAGAGCUUCAACACUCUCGCCAACUCAUCUCUACAAGACUAAGAGGCUUCACAAAGUAGUCUGGUUCGUCAGGGCCGCCUGGGGUCACCUGGAAGCAUUCUGUGAUGAAGGAACCAGCGGUUCAGGCGUUGGUUGAUGCGACACUGCUCCAACUAAGGGUGGAGUUUAAGUGGAGGCCCACAUAUGGGAAUGUGUGGCAAUUCGAAGAGCACCCCAAGGAGUCGUGGCCUCCCCCUGGAUCUUCUCAGGUUUCUAGCCCAUCUUGGUACGCAUCAACUAAUCUUGCGGAAAAAAGGGGAUGAAGAAGGACGCAUCGAUUUCUCUUCAAAAGAUCAGGUGAGGGUAACAAUGGCAGCGGCGGUGCAAACAGGAGCAGCAGCGCUAGGGUUGCAAAAAAUGCGCAAAUUACAGAUCUGUUGAAACAGGCAGGCCAAUACUUAGCUGGCCCCCCUAUUAUAUCGGCAAAAUUACCGGAUUCCACCCGUUGAUUGAGCAACGAUCAGAUAUGACUCAGAUUUACCACCAUAAAGUGUCCAACGGCUAAUCUGACCAAGGCAUUGAUCCCUUCACCGACUACAAGUACUCGCCCAAGUGCUCGGGGGCUGCAUAUACCGUACCCAUUGGAUGAAAGUUUUCUUUUUCUGAAGACUAAGAUAAGUCGAAGCGAAAUUACAAGUUUGACCCUCAGCCUGAUUCUUCGAUUCAACCUAAGGCUCGGGGGCUUACUUCAUAUAAAAAAAGUUUCAAGACCAAGACUCCUCGAAGUAAACAUCGGGAACUGCUAAGAGUACCUUCCAGUCACGCAACAGUUCCGGUACUCGAAGAUUGGCCGCAUCGAGCAGUACUCGAGGAGCAUCAGGAGAAACUCCGGCAACAUCUUCAAGUACUCGGAACUAUUCCACUCGACUACAAAGUACUCGGGGGCUUGUUGGCUAGGCACCCCUAGGCCCACCAGAAGACUUGUACGGAUCCACUCAAGGGAACGUACCCAAAAUCUAGUCGGGCAUGAAGACUACUCUGCAGGGCGCGUAGGUUUCAUGGACUCCCAGAAGACUAGUCAGGACAAAAGGAAACUACUCUACCGAGUUAGAGUAGGACUCUGUAACGUACUCAACUCGGACUCAUACACAAUCCGCCCUGUAACCCUGCUCCCCCGACUAUAUAAGGGUGGGUAGGGACCCCCCUCCAAAGUACAACAACAGACACAAGUUCAAUACAACCAACACACAGGACGUAGGGUCUUACGCGAUCUAGCCCGAACCUGUCUAAAUCAUGUUCCUUGCGUCACCAUCGACUCUUUUGAUUCUCGACGAUACCCACCGCACAAAAGACCACAUGGGGUACUCCCUAGGCAGGUUGCCGAUCUAAAAUACCAACACGACCUGCAGGUGUAAUGGCUGAAGUGGUCAAUGUGGCACUCGGAGCACUGCUCCCACCAGUGACAUUUCCUCCUUUUCCUUGAUUCCUUCUCAUCUUGACUUGUGUCAUUUUCCUUUGCAGGAUCUUCCUUGUUAGCCUCCUCCAGAUCCUUGGCUCCGGAAUGAAGUCUGGGUUCAGUACAGGUACUUUCAUCCUUGACUCCUUGCUCUCCAUGGCUGGAGAAGACGAUUGCACUUGCACCACAAGGUUGCUGGUCUGGUACAGGGAUGGCGAACAUGGCUGAAGCGUGGAGAGGACGCAUAGUGGGAUGGUGCAAAAGAAGAGACCAUGGAUGAGCUACAUAAUCUAAUCAAUCACUUUAUUGGAUCGAAAUUACCUUUGCAUUUUUCUAUCUAGAUUUGUGCAUUCCCUUUCUGAUCAAUUAAGCAGUUCCCAAUUUCAGAAAAACAAACUUAUGAAACAUUGCCAAUUUGGUGCAUAACUUCAAGUAGUCGUUGUCAAUAAGUAUCAGCGCAAAAAGAAAAAGAAGUAGAUUAUUUCAUUUUUCCUACCGAAGGCAAUAACCCAGCAGGUCUCAAAAUAGUUUAUCUUUAAUAAAGAACAGCUAAAAUAAAUCACUAGCACUGUAGUAAUCAUAUACUUCCUUCAUACUCACAAAGGAAGUCGUUUUGGACAGCGACACGGUCUCCAAAGUAUUACUUUGACUCUUUGUUUUUAUAAAAAUAUUUAUCAAAAAGUGAUAUAUGUAUAUUUUUAUGAAAGUAUUUUUCAAGACAAAUCUAUUUAUAUAGCUUUCACAUUUCCAAACUCAACAACUUAAAAGUUAUUCGUGAUUUAUAUUCCCAAUGUUUGACCCAAGUCUUGUCCAAAAUGACUUUCAUUGCGAGUACGGAGGUAUUUAGUAGUACACUUAUAAAACACUUCCAAAUUAAAACACCAUUUGUUUGUUUUAAUGAAGGGAGUAGCUAGCUAGCCAGCCGUACGUUUGUCAGGAGAAUUAAUUAGUUGAAGCGAGCUGCGAUGGACGCAAGGAGUGCGGUGGGGUCCAUCUCGUACCCAUACAGGCUCCUCCAGGAGUUGCACUCGACGCCGUCGGCCAGCUUGUCGACCGACCCUGUCGCGAGGUUCACCGCGAAGGCGCCGCUGGUGCUGCAGCCUUCCCCGAUCGUGAAGAAGAGCGUGCCGCUCUUCUCGCCGAGCCACCGCAUCUUGAGCUCGAACUUCGACAACAUCGGCACCGUAAGCUGGGUCAGGACGCUGGUUUCGCCCCGCUCCCACUCGGCACCCGCCGCCGCGCUCACGUCCAAGGUCUCGACGCCGAAGCUGAGGAGCUCGCCCCCCAUCAAGCCGGCGCUGACGUAGCUCAGCCUCCCGUCCGGCGUCGUGCCGAGCAGCCUCCAGUCCGGUAAAGUGUCCCGUAUCGUGUAGGGCACGACAUGCACGUCCAUGACCGCCGCGGCGGCGCCGCCGUCUAGCCGCACGGCCAGAGCUGCGGCGACCAUGAUGGGCCAGUACACCACUCCACGGAGCACGACGGCGGGGCCUAGUCGCUGAAGCACGUGGCCGCUAAUCUGGGUGCCGGGCUUCCUGAAUUCCGGGCCCCAGCCGCCGCCGCCGCCAGCGUCGUCGGAGGUGUAGCACCGAAGAGCCGUGAAGCUGCGGCGGUUGUAGACUAGGACAAGGCUGAAGAAGGACGAUCCCUGUUGUGCGUCGUUGUCGAGGUCGUCAGCGGUGAGUACCGCGCACAUGUAGUCGUGCCCGGGGAAGUCGUCGCCGGCGAGGGGCGGGACGAGGGCCACGUCCCCCGUCAUCGGGUUGCACACGCUGAGGGCGACGCCAUCGGCACGGGUCUUCCUCCGGAGCUCAAAGACGACGCGGCCGCCGCGGGACGCCACCGGGCGCGCGUAGUGGAAGAGGCCGCCGCCGUCACCGCCCUCAGGAAGGCCCGGGAACGGCGAGCCUAGGAGGACGGAGGCGGACGGCGUCGGGACGAAGCACGGGUCCGUCUGCGCCUGGGCAGCCAGCUGCCUCCGCCUGGUGCUGCUGAGGUCAUGCUGCCCCCCGUGGAAGAAGCCGAGGGCGAGGUGGGGGAGGAACCGAUCGGGUGGCGGCAGAGCGCGGAGGAUGGCGGCCUCGCGCGCGGCCACGAUGCGUCCCCAGCGCCUGCACACGGCGGCGCAGCGGGCGACGUCGCCGGCGUCCGAGAACACCAGGGAGAAGAUUGCGUCGAAGAGCAGGUCGUCGGGCAUGGUGGCCAGAGGAUCAACGGCGCGCCUGCUGCUGCCUUUUCGGUUUCUUGGUGGGCGGCGACAACGGGACAGCCACCCUUUCGUGCUGUGCGGCGGCGCGGCGGCGCGGCGCGGUGGAGCCAUCGAUGGAUCGGAUCUCCCGGCGCCCCCGGAUCGAGGUAUACGAAGCUAGGAAAAAGGAACAGAUGCAAUGCACGAAAGGUGGGCGGCAUCGCGAGUUUAUAGGCCAGCAUACGCGGUUGGUGCGUUCCGAUCGGAUUUGGACACCGUCUCGAAAUCGGUCGAAAAAGAAACUUUCCAUCUUCUUCUUCUAUCUAUACAGUAUCUACCUACAUCUACAUCUAUCCAUACACUAUAAAGAAUAUUCUGUUGUUAGAGUUAUCAUAUCACUUCGAUCUCUGAAAAAGUGAGUGGGCAGUUAACUAGGCCUUUUUUAGUUCCCAAUUUGGAAGUGGCAAAAUUGGCAUUUUACCAUAAAUGCGCAACUGUAGCGUUUCGUUUGUAUUUGUGAAUUAUUGUCCAAAUAUUGACUAAUUAGGCUCAAAAGAUUCGUCUCGUAAAGUACAACAAAACUGUGCAAUUAGUUUUUGAUUUCGUCUAAAUUUAGUACUCCAUGCAUGUACCGCAAGUUUGAUGUGAUGGGGAAUCUUCUUUUUGCAUAGUGUCAAAGUUGGGAGUUUGGAUGUAACUAAACAUGGCCCUGGUUUCUAUCAUUUCCCAUGUAUAUCAUGCAUGCGUCGUCGUCAGCAGGACACUGUUUUCGGCUUCAGAACAGCAAUUCUGAUCCUAUAAGGGAAAAUAACCAAUUUUUUUUUACCAGUGAAUGAAAGUGCAAUUCUCCACAAGUGAGAGUUUCAGACUGAAUCCACAACGAAGAUCGCCGCGGUGUCAGACGGACCGACGACGACACAGCUGGCCCGGACCUGAAUGGGAAGCUUCGUUCGGCGGUGCAGCAAUGACGUCUCGUCAGAUAGAUAUAUGUACGUGCCAUGUAUGUAUACGAUACGGUAUUACCCUAGCCUGUCAUAAGCAUCGAAUGUAAACCACCUGAUGGGCCUGACGAAAUGCCAGCCGCUAAACUGGAAGUGAAUCAUUUUUGCAAUACUUCUGUACCUAUUUUUGUGAAUUUGAUCUUUGGACAGUUCACUCGGUACACUGUAUAGUACACUGUCCAAUUGUCCAAAGUAGUGUUCAGCUUCAUAAAAAUAUCCUUUUUUAUGACAAUCCGAAUGGGACUGCACAUUUAUGCAAAUAAAUAAAUUUAUAAGUUAAAAUAUAAAUUGAGAAAUUUUAGAGUGCUUGAUAAAAAUAAGAGCCGUUCAUAAGACGAAAUCGAUAAGAGAAACAUUUUACUUUAUAUUUAACUAAUUUAUUAAAUAAAUAUUAUUGGUUAGCAAUAUGGCGACGUGGAAAUCAACAACCUGGAGCUGACCCAGCGAUGAGCUGCAAAGACAUCCCAAUGCAACGCAAGAGCAGGCGCAUGAACUUAUACAUGGGAGACGUGAAUGAACAUGCAUGCACGCAUUGUGUUAUCAUCAUCAUCAUCAUCAUCAUGUCCCCGUGUAAACAUGCAGCUCGGCUCAGUUCGGCCUGGCUCGUUAGGCUAACGAGCCGGCUUGGCUCAGCUCGUAAACAAAACGAGCAAAAAGGCCGGCUCAGCUCGACUUGUUAGCAACUCGAGCCAGCUUGUUAGGCUCGCGAGCAAGAUGUAAAUUUAAUAUUACCAUCUCAGUAUAUAUAAAAAAUAAAAAAAUAGUAAUUAUAAAAUCAUAAACUUCAAAAUCCACCAUGCAUGGCUUGUGUCGGCUCCCUAUAUUAGGACUUUAGCCUUCUAGCUCGUUUGGCUCAUGAGCAGCUCGUUAACUAAACGAGCAAAAUUAGCCGCUCGGCUCAUUAAAAAAUUCACCGAGCCGAGCCACCGACAACUCGAGCCAACUCGCGAGUUCUUGGCUUGGCAUCCAGCCCUACCCGUGUACGUCCAUGAAGGCCCAAGCAACUGUUAGCUGGCUUCUUUUUUACUUCUCUUCAAUACUUUCACCUUUGAGAAUAUAUGAUCAACUCAUAUGGUCAUAUAUAUUCAUAUAUGAUUGUGUUGUUGUAAAAGUUAAAACAUGAACAAAUAAUAUUAUCAAGCACUUUUACAAGAAAUUUCACCACUCUUCUCAUGAAGAGGUGGUACAGAUAAUUAGUGUGGAUUGUUAAAAGUGUGCAUUUUAAUAGUGACGUAAAUGCUUUUGAUUUGGCAAUGUUAAAGCUCGGAGUGUGUUACGUAGAUGCUUUUACGUGGUCAAACUUGUCUUUGCACCAGCACUAUGGAAUAUUAUUGUUGCAAUGUUGCUACCAAAAUUCAUAUUUUCCCGUGGCUGGUGUCCCAUGCAUAUAUAAUAGGAUUAUAUGACAAUCUGGCUAAAGGAGGCAUAAUAAAACCCUUAGAUUGCUAUUUUACUUAGAGCACACAUAUUUGUUCUUUGAGUGUGUAGUUGCUAAGCACAUUUAGUCGUAUGCUUCUCGUUUUACUGGUGGUCACGAAGAAGCUCAAGAUUGACAACCUGAACACCUGAAGAGGUCUUGUCACUAAUAAGCAAACGUUCGACUCCUAGAGGGAUACCAUUCGGGGCACAUGCCCCACCUUAGAUGCUCCUGCAUAAUUUUUUGGGUUGAAUGCACCUCCCUAUGAAGUCACGUGCAUUUUCAGAUAGUGUAUUCGGAAUUUCUGGUGGUAUUUCGCUCCCAAAUUUGUAUAGGGCCUGUACCUACAAAUUAAUUAAGAAAAACUACUGCAUCGUAGACAGCUAUAAAUGAUGUAGAUACAGAGAAACCAGAUGUCGUGCAUACCCUUUCUAAAUCAGUGUACGGAACUUUGCCUGUCAGCAUCUCCAAGACCAUGCAACCCAGACUCCAUAUAUUCGCUGGAAGGCCAUAUUGCUUUGCCUUAACAACCUGGUGCAAUUAGGAUGUUACCAAAAUAUUUGGUUGAGGCUUAACAUACACAUCAUUUUCAGUUACAAACUUAUGGCUAGUACUAGUUUGAUUUCUUAAAGACUGAUUGAUAAAUUAAAAAGCUGUUGAUACCAACACAAUCGUAAUACAAAAUAUGAUUAAAAAUUCUAAUCCUUUUGGAAAAUAAAUAGCUAAGCAUAACAUUAUUGUUUUUACUUUAAUAAUAAGAACAAUAGCACCACAACACAAACAACAAAAUCUAACCUCCGGGACCAUCCAAUACACAGUUCCCUGGGCAGAUAUUUGUCUGACUCAAACUUGACACCUUCAAAGUUAAGAUUAGAAAGGGUUAGCAUAACGCGAGGGCAAUAUAAAUUCACUGGGGUGGUGCCAUUUAUAGAAAAAGAUUGAUACCUCCUUUGCAACCCCAAAGUCAGCUAACUUGACGGUGUCAUUUCUAUCAACCAGUAUGUUGGCACAUUUUAUAGCUCCGGUGCAUAUUUUUUUGGUGCAUAACAUUUAUCCCUACAGCUUACUAACCAUAUAUACAAUAGCAUGUUAUAUUCUUACUAUUAAAAGUAAAAAGAUAUAAUGUUAUGCUUAGUUAAGGGUGGACCUACCUUAAAGCAGCGAGGGCCAAUGCCCCUCCCCCUCCUACUGCGCAGCUGCAGUUCUUAAUUUUUUCACCAUGAUAUAUGCUUGCCUACUUUUUAUAGUCACGAAUAGAAUGCCCUCACUCACAAUGGAUCCGCCCUUUUCUCUGGAGCGUAACGGGCUAGCUCCAUGAACUAAUAGGUGUACUCCUCCACAGACUUGUUGCCUUGGCGCAGUUCACGGAACUCAUCCGCCUUGCGCUUCAUGGUGGCCGCGGGAAUGUGAUAGCGGUGGAAUUCCGUCAUGAACUCAUCCCAGGUGAUAGUGGAGGCAUCCUGGGUGGCGAUGCAGUAGUUCUCCCACCAAGCUAGAGUAGUCCCAUUGAGCUGGUGGGCAGCCAAGAGAACCUUAUCCCUGCUCUCACAACCAAAUGGCUCUAGCUUCCUUUGAAUGACCCGCAGCCAGUCAUCUGCGUUCAGAGGGUUGAUAGACCCGCCAAAAGUGGGUGGCUUGGUCCGGAGGAAGUCCGUCAACUUUUCGUUCAUGCUCUGACCGCGGGGCCUCUAGCGAGUAAUGGCAUUGGCCAAGGCUUCCAGCAGAAGGGUCUGGUUGUUCAUCACUUGCACUAGAUCAAUGACCGGUGGGGGCGGUGGCUGCUGUGCUCCCAUUUGGCUUUCUCCCCUACCCUCAGGCUGAUUCACCUCCUGCUCCUCAUGGUGCACUACUGGUGGUGGUCCGUGCCCUUCCGGCUGUCUUUCUGCACUAGGGGUGGCACGGGCUUGACUCGGGGAGGUCCUGGUGGCACGCAUGGGAGGCAUCUGCAGAUUGAGAGAACUUUCAUGAGACUUGGAUUUGGACUUAAAGUGAUGUUUAGUUAAUUAGCUCAUGUUUUAGAAAAGACAGAAUCCACCUCCUGUUGACAAGCACACAGACUAACAAAUAACCAGCACAAACGAUUUUAUUAUUUUACCGGGGCGGUUACAAAACUUGGGGUGAAGCCAAAACACGCAGUACUCAGGAUGACUUCUCGGCUAGGGGUACAACUCUAGGUGGGGCAUUCUACUCGUGGGGCGAUUCCUCAUCCUGAGCGGAGUGGUUUUCAGGCAGGAUGAGGAGUGCCAGCACAUCAUCCUCCACCGAGGGCGGGACGAUGACUUCGGAGUCUCUCCUGGAAGUCUCCGUAGGUGGUGGCGCUGGCGGAGCAUCAGGGCUCUUCCGUUUGCCGGACCCUUGGGCAAUGGGAAUCCCAUCCAAGAUCGGGGCCUCGUCGUCCUCAACAACCCGCAUCUUCCUUCUCGCGCGGUUCGCGAGAUGGGCAUCCUUCAAUUCCUGAGAGUGCCGAUCCUCGGCCCCCUUAAGGGCCUCAAUGGCGACGGCCUCGUUACUUUGGGCAGCCGCUGCUCGUGCCUCAGCUGCUGCCAACCUCACCUAGAGCCUCCUCACCAUAACCUUUGCGUCCUUGGCUCUACGAAUCUGCUGCUUCAGCUGUGCGGUCUGCUCAUCAUAGAGCACAUCCAAGGUGAGAAGGUAGGCAGCCAUGUGGAGCACGGUGGGGUCAUCCUCGCGCUGUCCACGUCCUUCCAAAGUCCUAACCCGGGCCAGCCAAACCGGGUGGUUCUUCUUGACAGGCGGGUAAAAUCUCAUCUGUGUGCGGCCGAUGUGCCUCUCAUAAAUCUGGCACAGGUAGCGCAGAGCCUUACGGGCUGCCACCUGGUAAGUGUCUUUCCACCGAAAACCAGUGGCAGACACAUUCUAUGGUUGAGUGUCGGGGUAGCGACUGCUCCUGCCGACGUAGAUGGUCAUCUCACACCGGAGUGUCCCACGGUCUUCAUACUCCCUGCUGGUGUACUCCGGGCGCUCAUAAAUCUCGAGGCGGUCCAUGCAGGCGAAUAACAACCUGGGAAAACCGGGCUCCUCCAGGCAGUGGCUGUUGACCCAUCCUUCUUCUUCCAUCUGGAAAGAAUCGAGGUGUAAAUCAGUUUUGCAAAUGAGCAAGGGAAGCAAGAAAUUUUCUAAAUCAUUUAUUUUAGUCAAAAAGGUUUUUCCAAUCCUAAUGGUCACGUCCUACAGCCAAUGACGGCUCUGAUAUCACCUGAAGCAUCCUCACAUAAGUAGAGACUAAAUGUGAUACAAAUAUCAGUCCAGGAGGCUGAUAACACAUUUAUUCAAUAGAUGGUUCAAAAACCGUACAACUUCCGAAGGAGCGGGCGGGCAAGCAACACCCAAAAAAGAACUAAACCAACAACGAUACAAAUCCAAGUUGUAGUCCAGUCAAACUCUGGGCUGCAAUCGGAACUAAGCGUCAGCGGAGGCCGAGAAUCCCGGCCGGUGGCGUGCCGGAGCGGAGUUCCACGUGAAUGGCGUGGUGGGGGCCGGCUCGGUCGACGAGGAGCACAGGGGCGACGACCGGCGGCCGGCGAUGGGACGCGGGCGGCCAGGUGAGCAGCUCGGCGCGAGCGGCGGCGCGCGGCACGGCACGCGCGGGGCUGGGCGCGAGGGCGGCCAGGCGUGGCGCGGGGACGGGCAAGCAGCACCAGGUGCUAGCGCCAGGCGCUAGGAAGGAAGGGAAGGAGAGAAGGAAAAAGAAGGAAGAAGCUAGAGAGAAGAAAGAGAAGGAAGGAAGGGAAAAAAGAAAAGAGGAAAAAGGGGAGGGAAAAAAGGGAAAAGGAAAAAGGGAGGGGAAAAAUCAGUGAAAAUUGCGGAAUCGGUCGGGACGCGCAACGGAUUUGAUGGGCACGCGGUGAAAUUUGUAGGGAACGGAAAAGAUGACUGUCGACGUUGGGUGCCGGGACGGCGGGGUCGCCGGGAAUGAAAAGAUUUUCGGGAGCUCAACGGUCGGAAGAUUUUGAAACAAAUUUUUAGCGGGUGAUUCGAGUUAGUAAAUUCUACGGGUGUUACACUCGAGGUCUCCAGCUCUACGAGCCCAACGCUCCGCUCUCGACUUGAUUGCAUCAAGUCUCUUCGAGUUAUAGCAACUCGUCGGCUAUUCACAGCCACUUGAGCUCUCCAGCUCUGCGAGCCCCAGCACUCCGCUCUCGACUUUAUUCCAUCAAGUCUCUUUGAGUUAUCAUAACUCGUUGGCUAUUCAUAGCCACCCGAGCUCUUCGGCUCUGCGAGCCCUAGUGCUCCGCUCUCAACUUGAUUCCAUCAAGUCUCUUUGAGUUAUCACAACUCGUCAGCUAUCCACAGCCACUCAAGCUUUUCAGCUCUACAGAGCUUCAACACUCUCGCCAACUCAUCUCUACAAGACUAAGAGGCUUCACAAAGUAGUCUGGUUCGUCAGGGCCGCUUGGGGUCACCUGGAAGCAUUCUGUGAUGAAGGAACCAGCGGUUCAGGCGUUGGUUGAUGCGACGCUGCUCCAACUAAGGGUGGAGCUUAAGUGGAGGCCCACAUAUGGGAAUGCGUGGCAAUUCGAAGAGCACCCCAAGGAGUCGUGGCCUCCCCCUGGAUCUUCUCAGGUUUCUAGCCCAUCUUGGUACGCAUCAACUAAUCUUGCGGAAAAAAGGGGAUGAAGAAGGACGCAUCGAUUUCUCUUCAAAAGAUCGGGUGAGGGUAACAAUGGCAGCGGCGGUGCAAACAGGAGCAGCAGCGCUAGGGUUGCAAAAAAUGUGCAAAUUACAGAUCUGUUGAAACAGGCAUGCCAAUACUUAGCUGGCCCCCCUAUUAUAUUGGCAAAAUUACCGGAUUCCACCCGUUGAUUGAGCAACGAUCAGAUAUGACUCAGAUUUACCACCAUAAAGUGUCCAACGGCUAAUCUGACCAAGGCAUUGAUCCCUUCACCGACUACAAGUACUCGCCCAAGUGCUCGGGGGCUGCAUAUACCGUACCCAUUGGAUGAAAGUUUUCUUUUUCUGAAGACUAAGAUAAGUCGAAGCGAAAUUACAAGUUUGACCCUCAGCUGAUUCUAUGAUUCAACCUAAGGCUCGGGGGCUUACUUCAUAUAAAAAAGUUUCAAGACAAAGACUACUCGAAGCAAACAUCGGGAACUGCUAAGAGUACCUUCCAGUCACGCAACAGUUCCGGUACUCGAAGAUUGGCCGCAUCGAGCAGUACUCGAGGAGCAUCAGGAGGAACUCGGGCAACAUCUUCAAGUACUCGGAACUAUUCCACUCGACUACAAAGUACUCGGGGGCUUGUUGACUAGGCACCCCCAGGCCCACCAGAAGACUUGUACGGAUCCACUCAAGGGAACGUACCCGAAAUCUAGUCGGGCAUGAAGACUACUCUGCAGGGCGCGUAGGUUUCAUGGACUCCCAGAAGACUAGUCAGGAUAAAAGGAAACUACUCUACCGAGUUAGAGUAGGACUCUGUAACGUACUCAACUCGGACUCAUACACAAUCCACCCUGUAACCCUGCUCCCCCGACUAUAUAAGGGCGGGUAGGGACCCCCCCCUCCCAAGUACAACAACAGACACAAGUUCAAUACAACCAACACACAUGACGUAGGGUCUUACGCUGUCUAAAUCAUGUUCCUUGCGUCACCAUCGACUCUUUUGAUUCUUGACGAUACCCACCGCACAAAAGACCACAUGGGGUACUCCCUAGGCAGGUUGCCGAUCUAAAAUACCAACACGACCUGCAGGUGUAAUGGCCGAAGUGGUCAAUGAGGCACUCGGAGCACUGCUCCCACUAGUGACAUUUCCUCCUUUUCCUUGAUUCCUUCUCAUCUUGACCUGUGUCAUUUUCCUUUGCAGGAUCUUCCUUGUUAGCCUCCUCCAGAUCCUUGGCUCCAGAAUGAAGUCUGGGUUCAGUACAGGUACUUUCAUCCUUGACUCCUUGCUCUCCAUGGCUGGAGAAGAUGAUUGCACUUGCACCACAAGGUUGCUGGUCUGGUACAGGGAUGGCGAACAUGGCUGAAGCGUGGAGAGGACGCAUAGUGGGAUGGUGCAAAAGAAGAGACCAUGGAUGAGCUACAUAAUCUAAUCAAUCACUUUAUUGGAUCGAAAUUACCUUUGCUAAGAGUACCUUCCAGUCACGCAACAGUUCCGGUACUCGAAGAUUGGCCGCAUCGAGCAGUACUCGAGGAGCAUCAGGAGGAACUCGGGCAACAUCUUCAAGUACUCGGAACUGUUCCACUCGACUACAAAGUACUCGGGGGCUUGUUGGCUAGGCACCCUCGGGCCCACCAAAAGACUUGUAUGGAUCCACUCAAGGGAACGUACCCGAAACCUAGUCGGGCAUGAAGACUACUCUGCAGGGCGCGUAGGUGUGGCGGAUCCACUUCGGAUUAGCUUGAUUAGAUAGGGUUAAGCCGCCUAACAUGCGACACCCAUGCCUAAGCCAAGUUAACACGAAGUGCCGUCGGAUUACAUCCGAUUAACCACUUGAACAGGAUCGAGUUUAGCAAACUCACACGAAAGUGAGUGGUUCCAGAGAAUACAACGAGUCCACUGAGUUAAACGAUUUAACCCUUUAGUUCGGCCACAAAAACCAACAUCAGAGUUUUUACAAGGUUCAAAGGAAAACAACAAAAGGUAAAACCACUAGCGGAAGCAAUCGUCGGGGUCGGACGUCCCUGGUGAGGCCAACCGGGACAUCACUGAUUCCUCUCCUCACCGUCCGAGGAAGGAUCCCACUCGACCGUCCAGCCGGCGGAAGCUAGGGCGGCCAAGCACCAGCAAAAGAGGGGUCGGGAGCAGCAGCUUCACCUGAAAAACAGGAGCCACAACAAGGCUGAGCUACUAAGCUCAACAAGACUUAUCCGAUAGGAGUAAGCUACUCCACACUUCUAGACAUGUAGGGCUUUUUGGCUGAGGGGUUUGUUUGCCAAAACCACUAAGUAAAACCCUAUUUUCAAGUUUUAGCUCCGGUUUUAAGUUCCUUAGCCAGUCUAGGUUUUGCUUCCUAUUGUAAGCAAUCAUAGAACCAAACAAGAGGUAUAGAUAUAUCAACAAACAUGUCAUCAUCAGAUUCCUCAUUUACUCAGGGUGACAAAGCGAUCAGGCAAUCUCAAACUGUGAGAGGCAGACGAAUCGAUUCGAGUUCUUUAACCAUGCAUGGUUAACCUAGCCUCCCGACAUCCGCGCACCCGGAGGUCGCUUCCUGUGUCGGCCUUCCCCAUCAAUCCCCUAACCCGUGUCGGGCCCAUUUCCUUUGGUGUAAGGUUCCACGGACCCGGCCUCUGCCGUCCUGUGACCACGCUUACCACCACGUGCGACAACCAGCAGGGGAACUCCGUUCCAAGAACAAUGGGGCGACCGCUCACGUCUAGGUUCAAUCCGGUACUAGGCUUCCUCAUCCCAUACUAAGUAUGAGGCUAGUACUUUCAAACACUUGAUCACGAACACCACCACUGUCGGGCCUUAGCAAGUUUUCAUAGACAGACGGGGCGACCAUCCGUCCACCAAAGAGUUACCAAAACCCUGCCCCGUCCAUCGUCCUUAUAGUUGUAACAGAAAGGUAGAUAUCCAACUCCUACAACUCGCGAGUGACAGGGAAUCACUCGGCUUUUACCGUCUCCUAGUUAAGCAAGCGGCUACUCGGUCCAACAGCUAGUGCUCAGAUCAUGGGGAUAACUAAGUCAUGCAUCUAGGGUUUCAAACAACUCCUAUACGUAAAUGCACAAUCAUGUUACAGAAGGCAUGCGCAAGUCUGGUAAAACACACAGGGUUUUCAUGCAACCGGGGCUUGCCUUCGAGCAAAGAGGAAGGGAACUGCUCGACUUCGGGGGCGACUUCGGCUUCAGCGGGCAGGAGCUCAGCUACAGCUUCGUCUUCUGGCGCCGGGUGUAGCUCGUAGAAGCCGUCGGCGAGGUGCAGCUCUACACGAAUGCAAUGCAAAAGUUAGCAUAGACGGUUAUUUCAACAGCAACACUGGCUCGCCUGAGCCCAGAAACUUGCGACAAGGAGCAGGAGGGUAGGGAGGUUCAAGAGAGCUGGUGGUGAUCAAGAGGCAAGGGUCGGAAAGGAACUUAUGACCUGAUCCUUGAACUAGAGGAUGUGGUAUACUCGGGAUCCUCAGACGCAAGCGCUGAAGGGUUCCUAAAUUUUACACAUACACCCUCGGGUUGAAGAAAAGAUCACAGCCGGACCCUCGAGCGAGGCGGAUAAGGGUCGGCGGAACAGAUAGGGUCGGGCGAGACGGAACCGGGGUCGGGCGGAUAGGAGGGGUCGGGCGAAGCGGACUGGGGUCGGCAGCUUACCUUCUUCCUAAAAGGAAGGCUUGGGGUCGGGAAGAAGCAGACUUGGGCGGAGGGAUUAAAGCUUUGAACAACGGCUAAGACCGGAAACGCUACGGCGGCGGCGGUGCUUCUUGCAGAUAACAAGAGAGCUUUUACGCAGCACGGAGGAGCAAGCGGCUGGGUGACUUGGAGAAAACUGAGGGAGAAUCUGAGAGCAGAGUUCCCCAAGAACUUGGUGUGUGGCGCUAGGAGCUUGAGCAGGUAGCGAGAGAAUGGCUGAAGGCAACAAUGGUGGAGGGAACUCCGGUGGCUGGUGCAUUCCUUUUAUAGCUGCUGGAACGGAGGAAGGAAGCGGCGCGGGAGAGAGAGAAGGGGAGCGGCGCGAAGGCCGGGGAGAAGCAAUGGAGUGCUCUGCCGGGGCGGCGAUUGAGCGAAGAGGGCGAUGGUGCACGACUCGGGGAUGACGCCAGCGGUCAUUGGGUUCUGGCGUCAGGGCGGCGCAGGAGCGGGUAUGCCGGUGGUUGAGAUUUGGUGGAGGCGGGCGUCGCCGUGCGGAAGAUUUGAUAGAAGCGACCGGUUUAACGGCCCUAGAAUCGAGGGCGCACAGGUGAGAAGACAGGCAGCCGCGGGCGCGCGGGCGAGCGCGGAGCAACAGAUUGUCGGGCGGCUUCUGACAGGGCGGGGAAAGGAGCUGUCGCUGCCGUGGUCGGGGUUGGCGAUGGAGGAAUUGUCGUGUAGCGGAGACCAGGCGGCGCGACUGUGGUUGAAGUGACGGAAAAGACGGGCGACAUCGGGCUCUGGGGCCGGGAUCUGGCGGCGUGAUGAUGGGCGCGGGAGGCGAGGCUCUGCAGAAAGGUUGCAGAGGGGCUUCCGCUGCCAUUGGGGAAGGGGGCGCGAGAAUCCACUCGGUCGCUAGCCAGAGACAAAACUGAGCGGCGGCGUCAGAGAAAACGAGCCACGCGGCAGGGAGGCUCUGAAGCGGGCAUGCAACUCGAAUGCGCCUGUCGCGGAGGAUCUGGGGAAAAGAUCUCGCGGGUCCACCGGGCGGAUAGAACGGACGUUUGAGAAAGAUUUAGAAGGAUCCGACGGUGGGCUGAGCUUGCCAGGGUCGGGAUCGGAGCGAAACGGGGAGGGGUCGGGUCUCCGGGGUCGGAACCGGGUGGAAGGUUGAGCACUCAGGCGCGGUAAAACAAGACAGAUGACUAUGAUCAGGGGCUCCGAUUAAGAUUAACUCGAAAGAUUAGGGGUCGGUCGUCACAGCCUACCCCUCUUAAAAAGAAUCUCGUCCCGAGAUUCAGGCAUCAAAAGCGGGGUGCCGUUUUUACCUCCUUGAUGAGAUAGAAAACCGGGGAAGCGCUUGUUCAGAUACUCGUCCGUUUCCCAUGUUGCUUCAUCUUCGGUGUGGUUUCUCCAGAGGAUCUUAUACAUCUUUACCACUUGGCGUCGGGUGUGCCUUUCCUUCUGGUCAAGAAUUCGAUCUGGGUACUCGGCGUAGGUCAGGUCGGGCUCUACCUGAAGCUGUUCUUGCUCUAAGAUUUCUGCUGGAACUCGGACACAUUUCUUCAGUUGAGACACAUGGAAGACAUCGUGUAUGGCCGAUAGUUGUUCUGGAAGUUGGAUCCGGUAAGCAACGGGUCCACAUAUCUCCACAGUCUCAUAAGGGCCAAUAUAACGGGGAGCUAACUUGCCUUUUACUCCAAACCGUUGUACUCCUUUGGUCGGGGAGACUCGAAGGUACACAUGAUCACCAAGGUCGAACUGCAGGGGUCUUCUCCGCCGGUCGGAGUAACUCUUCUGUCGAGAUUGGGCAGCCUUGAGAUUAGCUUGAAUUACCUUUACUUGCUCUUCGGCUUCUGCCACCAAGUCAGGGCCAUAGACCUGUCUUUCUCCUGGUUGGGACCAGUUCAAGGGUGUCCGGCAUCUCUGGCCAUACAGGGCUUCGAACGGUGCCAUCUUCAAACUGGCCUGGUAGCUGUUAUUGUAGGAGAAUUCUGCUAAGGGCAGACAUUUGUCCCAAUUCUUAUCAUAGUGGAUAACACAAGCUCUUAACAUGUCUUCGAGGAUCUGAUUGAUUCUCUCGGUUUGGACGUCGGUUUGAGGAUGAUAUGUUGAGCUUCGGAUGAGCUUGGUGCCCAUGGAUGCUUGUAGUUGCUCCCAAAAACGUGCCACAAACUGAACUCCUUGAUCGGAGACGAUGGUCUUGGGUACACCGUGUAGGGAAACUAUGCGGUCGAGGUACAACUCUGCAUACUGCUUGACUGUGUAGGUGGUGCGAACAGGAAGGAAGUGUGCGGUCUUGGUCAAACGGUCCACUACCACCCAGAUGGAAUCGUGUCGUUGCGAUGUAAGGGGCAAUCCAACUAUGAAAUCCAUGCUGAUGUCUUCCCAUUUCCAAGAGGGAAUAGGUAGCGGUUGCAGGGUACCUGCUACCUUUAAAUGACUGGCCUUGACGCGUUGACAGGUGUCACAUUCUGAAACAUACCGGGCAAUUUCCCGCUUCAUUCCACUCCACCAAAAGGCUUGACGGAGAUCAUGGUACAUCUUAGUGCUGCCAGGAUGGAUUGAGAACUUGGAGAGAUGAGCUUCAUCUAGGAUUUGCUUCCUAAGGUUGGGGUCGGCGGGUACAACUAGUCGGUUUCCAUAAUGCACACCUCCCGUUUUGUCCUGCCGGAAUUGCUUAUAUCCCUCAUCCUUUACUGAGAUCUUACUGAUGAUCCGUUGUAUUUCCUUAUCUCUUACUUGUGCUGACCGGAUUUGGUCUUCCAAAACUGAGUUAAGGAUGAUGUGACCAAGGGUUCCCUGAGAAAUAAUCUCCAAACUGAGUUUUUCCAUCUCGUGACACAGAGUCUUGGUGAAGGCUGUUGACAACAAGCAGUUGCAAUGGUGUUUGCGACUAAGGGCAUCAGCUACCACAUUGGCUUUGCCGGGAUGAUAGUGAACUUCCAAAUCAUAGUCCUUUAUCAACUCCAACCAUCUUCUCUGGCGCAUGUUGAGGUCGGCUUGAGUGAAGAUGUACUUGAGACUCUUGUGGUCGGUGUAGAUGUUGCAGUGAGUGCCCAUCAGAUAGUGUCUCCAUAUUUUUAAGGCAUGUAUCACUGCCGCUAGCUCAAGGUCAUGGGUUGGGUAGCUCAGCUCAUGAGGUCGUAACGCCCGUGAGGCAUAGGCAAUGACUCGAUUGUCUUGCAUAAGAACACACCCAAGUCCAGUGCCAGAGGCAUCACAGUAUACGUCAUACGGCCUAGAGGGGUCGGGCUGAGCCAAAACUGGGGCUGUGGUCAGCAAGUGCAUCAGGGUCUUGAAGGCUUCUUCACACUUGUUGUCCCACACAAAUUUGACCUCUUUCUUCAACAACUCGGUCAUCGGCUUAGCUAUCUUAGAUAAAUCCGGUAUGAAACGCCGAUAGUAGCCGGCCAGUCCAAGGAAACUUCUGAUCUGGUGCACUGAGGCAGGAGGCUUCCAUUCCAUGACUUCCUGCACCUUACUGGGGUCAACGGCGAUACCAUCCUUGGAGAUAGUGUGUCCCAAAACCUUGACACUAUUUAACCAGAACUCACACUUGGAGAACUUGGCAUAGAGUUGGUGAUCUCUUAGCCAUCGGAGAACUAAAUGAAGAUGGUCGGCAUGUUCCUCUUCGUUCUUCGAGUACACUAGGAUAUCAUCAAUGAACACCACUACAAACUUGUCCAGCUCGGGCAUGAAUACCGAGUUCAUGAGGUACAUGAAAUAGGCGGGUGCAUUGGUGAGUCCAAAGGACAUGACUAGUUACUCGUACAGUCCAUAUCUGGUAGAGAAAGCUGUCUUGGGUAUGUCGCAGGGUCGGAUCUUGAUUUGGUGAUAACCAGAACGAAGAUCGACCUUGGAGAACACUUUUGCUCCGGCUAACUGAUCAAACAAGACAUCAAUGCGUGGCAGUGGGUACUUGUUCUUGACGGUCACGGCAUUGAGGGGUCGGUAAUCCACACACAUACGUAGACUGCCAUCCUUCUUCUUCACAAACAGGGCAGGGCAACCCCAAGAUGAUGUACUGGGUCGGAUGAAGCCUUUUUCCAACAGAUCAUGCAACUGGGUCUUCAACUCGGCUAACUCAGCGGGUGGCAUCCGAUAGGGUCUCUUAGAUAUUGGGGUUGUGCCAGGGAUCAACUCUAUGGAAAACUUCACUUCUCUAUCAGGUGGCAUACCCGGCAAGUCUUCCGGAAACACGUCAGGAUACUCACAGAUAACAGGGAGGCCUUCUAGACGGGCUCCCGAUAGGGGGUAGGCACAAGGAAGUGCAGACUCAGGACGGGUCAAGGAUAUGGUAGAACUGCCAUGGAGGGGUGAGCUGAGGUAGAGGGAUCGGGCUACUGUAUCUAGAACCACAUGAUGUCGGGCCAUCCAAUCCAUACCAAGGAUGACAUCUAUGCCUUCUAGGUCAAGGAUGAUAAGGUUUUCCUUGAAGAGGGUGGGGCCUAGCUGGAGGGGUACAAGAGUAACAAUCUGAUCCGACGUUAUCCUUCCUCCAGGAGUGGCGAUCACAUAAGGUUCCUUAGUGUGACCGACAUUCAGCUCACAUCUUUCCCUAGCCUUACUCCCGAUAAAGCUAUGAGAGGCUCCCGAAUCAAACAACACAACAACAACUUGAUUUAAAACAAGGAAAGUACCCGUCAUUACUGGCGCACCUUCGGGGAGCUCGGUCAAGCUGGUGUAGUUGAGUCGGCCUUGUCGGACUUGCACCUUGGGCCUUCUUCCUCUGGCUGCCAUAGGGUUCGGACCUUGCUGUUGAUUCUUGUUCCUGGGGCAGUCCUUUGCAAAAUGCCCUUCGUUGCCGCAGGUAAAACAACGGCUACUAGCUGCCGGGCGGGGUGGCGUUGGUAGGGUCGGCCGGGGCACCUGCGGUUGGAAGCCUGAAAAACGAGGCGCUGUUACUGGUGAGGGUCGGGCGAUCCACCUUCCUGACUGCUGGGGUCGGCCAGGGGCUUGUGGAGGAACCAUCCGGAACCUUCGAGUCGGCGGACUCGGAAAUGCCACAGAGGCUUUCCUCUUCUGGUCGGCCUUGAGAGCUUGCAUGCAAUCCUCUUGAGAGAUGGCCAGAUUGACCAACUCAUUGUAGGUGUCCACCUUGAUGGGGUUCAACCUUUCCCUGAGCUCCAAGCUCAGUCCUCGGCGGAAUCUGUCCUGCUUCUUCUCAUCUGUAUCCGCAUGGUAGCCGGCAUAGCGGCACAGGUCGUUGAAAGCUUGAGCGUAGUGCAGCACAUCUCGGGUUCCUUGGGUAAGGGCCAGAAACUCGUUGAGCUUGCGCUCCAAGAGACCUUCUGGAAUGUGAUGCGCCUUGAACGCCGUCUUGAACUCAUUCCAACUGACCACAUGGCCAGCCGGCAGCAUGGCAUGGUAGUGAUCCCACCAAAGCCGUGCGGAGCCACGCAGCUGUUGAGCUGCAAACCGAGCCUUGUUGUUGUCGGGGCAUGGGGCGGUGAGAAGCUCAAACUUGGAUUCGAUCGUACGAACCCAGGCGUCAGCAUCGAGCGGUUCUUGUGUCUUUUGGAACAAAGGGGGCUGUGUCCCCAGAAAGUCCUCAUACCGAGCGAUAUGCGGCUGCUGCUGAGCUCUUCCACCAUGUGGCUGUUGCUGUUGCCCUUGUACCAGAUGCCUUAGCAGCUCAUUUUGAGUGCUAGGAUUGCCUCCAGUGGCGAUGAGGGCGGGGGCGGGGGAAGAUCCUGUCGCGGUUCGCUACUGCCGGGCACAGAACCAGACCUGGUGCGAUGCGCCAUCUGCAAGAGUUAACGCUCCAUUAAUUUCAUAACCUUAGAUGUACUCCAACAAAUGGAUCGCAUAAUUUAAUUUCUCCAGUGCAACUCUUGCCAAUGGUGCAACACACGUCCUCAUAGGGAAAACACACUUUUCUUAUCCUCAGUGUAGAUAACAUUUAUCUUGACCUGGUACUCAACUUCAGGCGAAACAUGUCAUAUACAGACCCCUAUGAUCCAACUCAAGCCAAGGGGUCGGGCAACGAUCCGUACUUAAAAAAAAGGUCGGACGAGGCGGAAACUGCCUCAAGGGUCGGCGCACUCGGUCUCACAAACUGGGGUCAGCCAACUGAACAGGCUCCCAGAACACAGCAUAUGGUCAUGGCGCAACUCCCUUAGCCUAGCAUCCACACCGUGCAAGGACUAAGGCCAGACACCAGAAUUAACUUUAUAUACAACGGUGUUCCAAUCACAGGGAGUACUCGACUCUAGGCUAACCUAUUACAACCUUUCCAAAAUUUAGGCUGCCGAGGAGUACAACAAAAGAAUGAUUCCCUGAGAACCCUCAAUCUACCAAUGGACACUAUGAGUAGGAGAAGGGACGCCAUCUUCCUCGAUAUCCAUGCUGGACGCUCCUUCGUCUUCCUCAGGGUCCUCUUGAGCUUCGAGCUGCAUGUGGAGGGCAUGCAUAUCAUCGAGCUCAGCUUGAUGCUCCUCCAAAUGGGCAUUGGCAACUGCCAACUCCAUUUCUAUCUCCAUCUUCUCCUCCGAUAGCUCUAUUAUGCCGUCCACUAGGUCGGCGACUUCUCCCUCAAGCUCGGAGAUCCGGUCUUGCAUGUCUGGAUCUGGAUACCCCGUUGAAUAAGCUGGUAGGUUUGGCCUACCAUAUCUCUCCGUGCCGAUUGGAGGUACCCGUGAGCAUCCGCUGUUGUCCGGGCGAAGAGGGUCAUGGCUCUCCCUUAUAGCUCUAUCAGCCGGUAAAGAGCUGCCAUGCACCUGAUAUUGGUGGAGAUGGUGACCAUGGCGCAUGUGGUGGCUAGCACCUCAAUAUUCCCGACGCGGUCGAGCCAUGCCGGGUCCAGCCGGUUCCUGACGGGGAAAAGGCCGAUCGGGUCGAGCGUGAUCUCCAAGGGAUGCAGCUGGCAGAACUGGGUGAGAAGCUGGAGGGCGGCAGACUCCCAUGUAUCCUCAGGAGCAAGGCCAUAGGCUAUUAUGCCGAAAGAGGGCCAGUCGGGCCGCACAGGGGGAGGAGGUACCACCGCCUGCACUUGGCACGUCUGGAUACCCUGCUCCAGAUAUAACCAUCCGGUGUACAAGGGUGGGGACUGGUAUCCAAACCACUUAAACGUGUCCCACAGAAUCGCGGGGAAACCCUUGAAAUGCAGACAUGUCGACUGGAAAGUACCGUCCGCUCCAAAUAGAACAUGCCCGGGAAUAGCCAUCUAGAACCAAGAAACCGAAACCACGUGAUAUAGACUCCAAGGGUCAGGGGUCGGGCAGAGAUGCAUUCGGCUUUAACCGACAGCAACGGAAGAACUAGAAAUCCUUAGAUCCAAAAAGAACUCUUCCGAACAAGGUUGCUGUUGAGAAGGAAACCUUACAGCUUUUUAGUUAUGACGCAUGCACGGCCUACCUUACACUUAACCAAAAACAACUGCCCGAAACUUUAGGUCUUACGUGGUCAGUGCCGGUGACAAGGCAUCAAUUACGUCUCUCCCUAUAAUAACUAGUCGGUUCUAACAACGUCUCCUAAACGAACGCGGUUAGCGUACCUGCAGAAAACACCAACACACGAACCUUUCGUGCCAGCACCCACGAAAGCGUUCCCAAACAUUACCGCUCACUAUAGGAACGGCACCCAUGCGUUUAAGGCUGCAUGGACAGCACUCAACCGUGGAAAUAGGUUCCCUUUGAAUGGAACCAUAUAACCCUUCGCAUACUCGUGAUGCGGAAUCAGCACACGUAUGACAAACGUGGCGAACCAACCGUGCUGAUAGGUUCGUUGGAAUCGAACCGUACCAACCUUCGUAUGGAGUACAUACGGAACCUGCGCACGUGUGAUAGACGUAGGCGAAAACAACCACGAGGAUAGGGUCCUUUGAAUAGAACUCCCUAUCAACCUUCGCAUGCUCGUGAUGCGGAACUCGGCACACGUAUGAUAGACGUGGCGAAGUGCUGGAAGGGUUAGCAAAAUAACCAAGUAAUUAUUAGUCACCUAAAACAACCCCAAAAUCCCCUAGGGCCUCUCGCACUAAAGCCAUCCUUAACGAUCGUACAAGAUUUUUCAAAAGUUUCUUGCAACUUUUAUCUUUUCAAAGAAGUGUUAGGGCUUGUUGUGUUCUCUGUACUGCUAAACCUGCUCUGGUACCAGCUGUGGUGGAUCCACUUCGGAUUAGCUUGAAUAGACAGGGUUAAGCCGCCUAACAUGCGACACCCAUGCCUAAGCCAAGUUAACACGAAGUGCCGUCGGAUUACAUCCGAUUAACCACUUGAACAGGAUCGAGUUUAGCAAACUCACACGAAAGUGAGUAGUUCCAGAGAAUACAACGAGUCCACUGAGUUAAACAAUUUAACCCUUUAGUUCGGCCACAAAAACCAACAUCAGAGUUUUUACAAGGUUCAAAGGAAAACAACAAAAGGUAAAACCAGUAGCGGAAGCAAUCGUCGGGGUCGGACGUCCCUGGUGAGGCCAACCGGGACAUCACUGAUUCCUCUCCUCGCCGUCCGAGGAAGGAUCCCACUCGACCGUCCAGCCCGGCGGAAGCUGGGGCAGCCAAGCGCCAGCAAAAGAGGGGUCGGAAGCAGCAGCUUCACCUGAAAAACAGGAGCCACAACAAGGCUGAGCUACUAAGCUCAACAAGACUUAUCCGAUAGGAGUAAGCUACUCCACACUUCUAGAUAUGCAGGGCUUUUUGGCUGAGGGGUUUGUUUGCCAAAAGCACUAAGUAAAACCCUAUUUUCAAGUUUUAGCUCCGGUUUUAAGUUCCUUAGCCAGUCUAGGUUUUGCUUCCUAUUCUAAGCAAUCAUAGAACCAAACAAGAGGUAUAGAUAUAUCAACAAACAUGUCAUCAUCAGAUUCCUCAUUUACUCAGGGUGACAAAGCGAUCAGGCAAUCUCAAACUGUGAGAGGCGGACGAAUCGAUUCGAGUUCUUUAACCAUGCAUGGUGAACCUAGCCUCACGACAUCCGCGCACCCGGAGGUCGCUUCCUGUGUCGGCCUUCCCCAUCAAUCCACUAACCCGUGUCGGGCCCAUUUCCUUUGGUGUAAGGUUCCACGGACCCGGCCUCUGCCGUCCUGUGACCACGCUUACCACCACGUGCGACAACCAGCAGGGGAACUCCGUUCCAAGAACAAUGGGGCGACCGCUCACGUCUAGGUUCAAUCCGGUCCUAGGCUUCCUCAUCCCAUACUAAGUAUGAGGCUAGUACUUUCAAACACUUGAUCACGAACACCACCACUGUCGGGCCUUAGCAAGUUUUCAUAGACAGACGGGGCGACCAUCCGUCCACCAAAGAGUUACCAAAACCCUGCCCCGUCCAUCGUCCUUAUAGUUGUAACAGAAAGGUAGAUAUCCAACUCCUACAACUCGCGAGUGACAGGGAAUCACUCGGCUUUUACCGUCUCCUAGUUAAGCAAGCGGCUACUCGGUCCAACAGCUAGUGCUCAGAUCAUGGGGAUAACUAAGUCAUGCAUCUAGGGUUUCAAACAACUCCUAUACGUAAAUGCACAAUCAUGUUACAGAAGGCAUGCGCAAGUCUGGUAAAACACACAGGGUUUUCAUGCAACCGGGGCUUGCCUUCGAGCAAAGAGGAAGGGAACUGCUCGACUUCGGGGGCGACUUCGGCUUCAACGGGCAGGAGCUCAGCUACAGCUUCGUCUUCUGGCGCCGGGUGUAGCUCGUAGAAGCCGUCGGCGAGGUGCAGCUCUACACGAAUGCAAUGCAAAAGUUAGCAUAUACGGUUAUUUCAACAGCAACACUUGCUCGCCUGAGCCCAGAAACUUGCGACAAGGAGCAGGAGGGUAGGUGUUGGAGGUAUGCCCUAGAGGCAAUCAUAGAGAUGAUGAUAUUCCAUUUGUAUCCAUGAUUUGUAUAUUGUGUUCAUUGAAUAUCCAUUAAAGGAUACUUGAAUUGAUUUGCAAUUAUGUGAAUUGUAUGUGAAACUCUUUACUUGUAUGGUUAUUCUAAAGUUGUCCCUAGUCGGAGUUCAUGUGAGGACACACAUGAAUAUUAGACUAGCACAUGUAUUAGUUGAUGACUAUGUUUCACAAGUCAUGGACAUGGAGAUGUUGAACUAAUAAUGUGGACACAUGUGGAGACAUGUGUUAGGACUGACCCAACACGAGAAGUAGUUCUCUCUUUAAACAACAUAUACGCUUUGUCCUUAGACCUGAGAUUGUCGCAUGUAUUCUAGAUGUGGAUCGACCUACUUAGGGGCUAUCAAACGCUACGCCGUAACAGGGUAGUUAUAAAGGUAGCUUUCGGGUUUGUCAAGAAGCAUGCUAUGAGACAUGGUCAAUCAAGAAGGGAUUUGCCCCUCUCUGAUUGAGAGUGAUAUCUCUGGGCCCCUCGAGUGAUCGGAUCCGAAAAUGCAUGGCCAUGCUACGUAUGGUUAAGAGUUAACCUACAAAGGGAUUCCGAAUCACAGGAUCGAGAAAGAGCGGUCGGCUUGAAGCUAGACCAAAUAUCGUGAGGCAAAGGGAAUAGCAUGUAUAUUAUGUUGUGAUGGUUCGUCUGAUAUGAUCUUCGUGUGCGUAUAGGAGUUGGCACGUCUUGCUAGAGGCCGCUACCGACUAUUGGGCCGAGUAGGAGUACUCGGGCCAUGUCUAUACGUAUCCGAACCCAUAGGGUCACACACUUAAGGGGCUGGAAGCCCAAUUCGGAUCUGAUCUGAGUUGGAUUAGGUUUAGGAGUACUAAUGGGCCUCGGAUCCAGAGGCCCGUCAGGAACCCCUAUAAAUAGAGGGGUGGGGGCGCCCUAGGGUUUACACCUUUUGGCGAAACAUACCUGCCGCGCCUCCCACGCCCUCGCCUGUUGCAACUCGCGGAUCUAGCAGUCCGGCUUGCGACGCUUCCUCCCUGCACGUGUGGAUACCUUGGAGGUGUUGCGCCUGCAGCACUUGGACGAGCCAUCGACGAGCCGCCGACGAGCCACGACGAGCCGACGACGAGCCGCGGCACCGGAGGCGAUCUUGCUGUGCACGUGGACGAGCUGCUGAGGAGCUGCUGGACGUGAUCGACUACGUACGACUACGUUGAUCGACUACGUACGACUACGUGAUCGUCUUCACUGCACCGACGCAUAUCUACAUCUUCCGCACCAGUAGUGCGUCGAGUGGUAAUCCCGUGAUCCUUAUACGGCAGUUCUUCCUGGUUAUACGCGGUAGAAAUUUUGAUUUGCGCUAGCGUAGCCUACCUCGUAUCCCAACAGUGGUAUCAGAGCCGUAGCUGCUUAGUUUUGGAUUCGGGAUGUGUGCAUAUGGAGAUAUGCGAGUUCUCUGUUUGAUCUAUGUCCUGAUUUCGUGCCCUUGCUGCAAUGGUAGUGUAACGACAUACUCCUACCGGUCGGUUUCCGCCAUCGGAGUUAAGUGAUACACGUAAACCCAGUUGCAGUGAGGGAAGAUCAAUAUGAUUGGUCAAAUCGAGAUCCAGGGUCAUACGCCAGGUGCAUUAGAUGUGCAAUAGUAGAUAGGAUCUACUGCCGGGGUCGGGAUUUUGCCGUAUGCGUAUGCUUCGGUAAAUCAGCCGUAACUUUUCGGUACGAUCUCGGAUUGGGGCGAUUUCUAUACGAAAAUUGAUCUACAGAAAAAGUUACACAUGAAAUUCAACCGCUUCGCCGUUUUCGGCGAAAUUAGAUUUCCCAAAUUCGGCUUGGAAGAUGGAGUUUCGGGCCUCCGAAGUUUGGAACGUUAGGACGCCUAACUCUCUUUUGCAGGAUGUAUGUAUCUUGUGAUCAGUAUGGCCCCUUGUGUAUGUGAUGCAUGUGUGUAACUCAUUCGUGACCUGCGUGUCGCGCGUACGGCAACACGGCAGGAGCCAUAUGUGUUGUCACUUUAUUGUAUUUAAUGGUCUGCGUACCAAUCUGUGAUGAUCCAAGGAACUAUGUAAUCUUCAUUACUAGAUUCUUUACUAGCUAUUAGGCGUAAUAGCAUGCUCUAGUUCUUGGAGGACUCAUCACCAGGAGGAUGGCGCACAUGGAACAUGGAGAUGGAGAUCACCAUGGUGAACAGGUUCUAUGGAGAUGGAGAUCACCAUAUGAAAAACGGGCCAUACUGUGUCACAACUGUGUGAAUGCUAUUCUGUUUAUGUUUUACUUUCUGCAUGCUGUGAUGUUAGAAGUAGAACGAUCCCUCGCAAAGUUUAAGUUAGUAUGCCCUCCCAACUAAAACUUGCACCGUCCCAUGUCUUGUACAAUUAGUGGUGGGUCUAUGAAAUUAGGGUGCCACUAGUUUUCCUUGACUAGACGGGUUUGUGUCGGACACUUACACGCAUAAGGGUUGGUUAGCUUAACGAGGUCAUCUUAACGGUUAAGGACCUUGGGGCAUAAAGGUUGGGCGCCGAGACAUAGAGAUGUCACCCAACAACAGGAGUCAUAUGUGAUAUGAUUAGCAAAAGUUGCUUACCGAUCUACCUCGUUUGCUAGCGAUGAUGCUAAAGCUCACUAGUAGACUUGUUAGUUGUGGAUCCUAAAUCACUAAGUUUCAAUAGAGGGAUAUUGAUUUUAGUGGGAGUAGAUUCUGUUAAAAUAGUUUAAUGUAAUUUGCUCUAUCAUGGAUACGUUUGUCUUAGUGUAUUUUGCAUUACUUUUGUUGUAGAUUAAAUGGCACCUAGCAACACCACCACAUCGUUUGCUUUGCGUUCGGUCCUUGAGAAGGACAAGUUGAAUGGAACAAACUACUCGGAUUGGAUCCGCAACCUGAGAAUUGUUCUCAGGGCUGAGAAAAAGGAAGAUGUUCUAGACAACCCACUACCAGAAGAACCUGCUGAGGAUGCACCCGCUGCUGCUAAGAAUGCUUACAAGAAAGCAUGUGAUGCUAACCUCGAAGUAAGCUGCCUUAUGCUUGCUUGCAUGGAACCCGAGCUGCAGAUGCAGUUCGAAACAAACCAUGAGGCGCACGAUAUGAUCGUGGCGCUUAGAGACAUGUUCCAAACACAGGCCAGGACUGAAAGGUUCAAUGUGUCUAAGGCCUUUGUUGAGAGCAAGCUAGCAGAAGGCGCAGCAGUAGGACCACACGUAAUCAAGAUGGUUGGUUACACUCAACGGUUGGAGAAGCUAGGCUUCCCACUGGGCCAAGAGUUGGCCACUGAUUUCAUUCUUUCGUCUCUUCCGCCUAGCUAUGGGAACUUCAUCUCGAACUACCAUAUGCAUGGGACGGAGAAGGGUCUGAAUGAGCUGUGUGGUAUGCUCAAGACAGCAGAGGCUGACAUUAAGAAAAGCGCUAGUACCAGCCAUGUGAUGGCGAUACAGAACAAGCCCAGCUUUAAGAAGAAGGGCAAUUCUUGGAAGAAGAAGGGCAAGGCUGGAACGUCCAAGCCAAACCCACCGCCGAAGGCUAAAGCUGGACCUGCUCCAGAUAAAGAGUGCUUUUACUGUCAUGAACUUGGUCACUGGAAGAGAAACUGCAAGCAGUACCUAGCUUCGUUGAAGAACGGCGGAAGUAAGAGUACUUCUACCUCAGGUACGCUUGUUGUUUAUGUUAUAGACAACAUAUUUCUCGCUGAUACAGUUAUUAAUUCUUGGGUAUUUGAUACCGGAUCGGUUGCUCAUAUUUGCAAUUCGAUGCAAGGAAUGAUAAGAAGUAGAAGCGUGGAAAGAGGAGAAGUUGAUUUCCGCGUGGGCAAUAAUGCAAGAGUUGCUGCUUUGACCGUCGGGACGAUGCAACUCCACCUCCCGUCAGGAUUUAUUAUGGAGUUGAAUAAUUGUUAUUUUGUUCCUAGUUUAAGUCGAAACAUUUUGUCUCCUUCAUGCUUGAUGAAGGAUGGUUAUUCAUUUGCGAGUGAAAACAAUGGUUGUGUGAUCUCUAAGAAUAAUAUGUUUAUGGCUUUUGCACCCAUUGUGAAUGGAUUAUUUGUUUUAAAUCUUGAUGGUUCACCUGUCUGUAAUGUAAGUGCUAAAAGGCCUCGGCCUAAUGAUUUGAGUCCUACCUACUUGUGGCAUUGUCGUUUGGGUCAUAUAAGUGAUAAGCGCAUGAAGAAGCUCCAUUCUGAUGGACUUCUAACUUCAUUUGAUUUUGAAUCAUACGAGACAUGUGAGGCUUGCUUGCUAGGCAAGAUGACCAAAACGCCUUUCACAGGAUUUCCUGAGAGAGCAGUAGACUUGUUGGAACUCGUACAUAGUGAUGUAUGCGGACCAAUGAGCACGACGGCUAGAGGAGGAUUCCAAUACUUCAUAACUUUCACUGAUGAUUUUAGUAGAUAUGGCUAUGUCUACUUGAUGAGGCACAAGUCUGAGACCUUUGAAAAGUUCAAGGAAUUUCAGAAUGAAGUUGAAAAUCAGCGUGGCAAGAAAAUUAAGGCCUUACGAUCUGAUCGUGGAGGCGAGUAUUUGAGCCACGAGUUUAGCAAUCAUCUAAAGAGUUGCGGAAUUGUUCCACAACUUACGCCGCCUGGAACACCUCAGAGAAACGGUGUGUCCGAGCGACGUAAUCGAACUUUGUUAGACAUGGUUCGAUCAAUGAUGAGCCAGUCGGACCUACCGUUGUCAUUUUGGGGAUACGCUCUAGAAACAGCAGCUUUCACACUUAAUAGGGUACCAUCUAAAUCCGUAGUUAAGACACCAUAUGAGAUGUGGACUGGAAAGGUUCCUAGUUUGUCUUUUCUAAAGAUUUGGGGAUGUGAAGUGUUUGUCAAGCGACUUCAGUCAGACAAGAUCACACCCAAGUCGGAUAAGUGCAUUUUCGUGGGAUAUCCAAAGGAAACUUUGGGAUAUUAUUUCUACAACCGAUCAGAAGGCAAAGUGUUUGUCGCUCGGAACGGGGUUUUCCUAGAGAAAGAGUUUCUCAAAGGAGAAAAGAGUGGAAAGACAGUGCAUCUUGAAGAAGUUCAAGAUGAGCCAAUCGGGCAAGAAUCAAUGAGUGAUGCUAACGUAGCAGAACAAGUUGAGAUACCCAUGGCAAGAGAAGCACCGCCACAACCACGAAGGUCGGCAAGGCUCCGCGAAAUGCAGGAAAUAUUAUUGUUGGACAAUGAUGAGCCAGCGACAUAUGCAGAAGCAAUGAUGGACCCAGACUCCGAAAAAUGGCAGAGUGCCAUGCAAUCCGAAAUAGAGUCCAUGGGAGACAAUCAAGUUUGGAACUUGGUUGACCCGCCUGAUGGUGUUAAAGCCAUAGAGUGCAAGUGGAUCUAUAAGAAGAAAAAGGACAUGGAUGGAAAUGUUCACAUCUAUAAAGCACGACUUGUCGCAAAAGGUUUUCGACAAGUUCAAGGAGUUGACUACGACGAGACCUUCUCGCCCGUAGUGAUGCUUAAGUCCAUUCGGAUUAUUCUAGCUAUAGCUGCAUAUUUCGAUUAUGAGAUAUGGCAGAUGGAUGUCAAGACAGCUUUCCUGAAUGGAAACCUAGCUGAGGACGUGUAUAUGAUACAGCCCGAGGGUUUUGUCGAUCCGAAAAAUGCUGGAAAGGUAUGCAAGCUUCAGAGAUCCAUUUAUGGAUUGAAGCAAGCAUCUAGGAGUUGGAACAUUCGUUUUGAUGAAGUAGUCAAAGGGUUUGACUUCACCAAGAACGAAGAAGAGUCUUGUGUUUACAAGAAGGUUAGUGGGAGCUCUGUAGUAUUUCUAAUCUUAUAUGUGGAUGACAUAUUACUGAUUGGAAAUAACAUUCCUAUGCUUGAGUCCGUAAAGACUUCACUGAAAAAUAGUUUUUCGAUGAAGGACUUAGGGGAAGCGGCAUAUAUUCUGGGUAUUAAGAUCUAUAGAGAUAGAUCGAGAAGGCUUAUAGGUUUAAGCCAAGAUACUUACAUUGACAAAGUGUUGAAGCGGUUCAGCAUGGAAGAGGCAAAGAAAGGGUUCUUGCCUAUGUCACAUGGCAUACAUCUCAGCAAGACUCAGUGUCCUUCGACUGCUGAUGAGCGGGAUCGCAUGAGUAGAGUUCCAUAUGCCUCGGCUAUUGGAUCUAUCAUGUAUGCAAUGAUAAGUACUCGCCCAGAUGUUUCAUAUGCGCUAAGUAUGACAAGUAGACACCAAUCUGAUCCAGGUGAGAGUCACUGGACAGCGGUGAAAAACAUUCUUAAGUACUUGAGAAGGACUAAAGAUAUGUUCCUCGUCUAUGGAGGUCAGGAGGAGCUCGUUGUAACAGGUUACACCGAUGCUAGUUUCCAAACCGACAGAGACGAUUCAAAGUCACAAUCAGGAUUUGUGUUCACGCUAAAUGGUGGUGCUGUUAGUUGGAAGAGUUCCAAGCAGGAGACGGUGGCCGAUUCUACGACAGAAGCCGAGUACAUCGCGGCUUCGGAAGCCGCGAAGGAAGGUGUUUGGAUAAGGAAUUUCCUCAUUGAGCUUGGUGUGUUCCCGAAUGCGUCCAGCCCAUUGAAUCUCUACUGUGAUAAUAAUGGGGCAAUUGUGCAAGCAAAGGAGUCAAGGAACCACCAGAAGAACAAACACGUAAUGCGGCGAUUUCAUCUCAUUCGAGACUUCGUUAACCGGGGUGAGAUCAAGAUAUGCAAAAUACACACGGAUCUGAACAUUUCUGAUCCGUUGACAAAACCACUCCCGCAGGCUAAGCAUGAUGCGCAUGUAAGAGCUAUGGGUAUUAGGUACCUUCUAGAUUGACUCUAGUGCAAGUGGGAGACUGUUGGAGGUAUGCCCUAGAGGCAAUCAUAGAGAUGAUGAUAUUCCAUUUGUAUCCAUGAUUUGUAUAUUGUGUUCAUUGAAUAUCCAUUAAAGGAUACUUGAAUUGAUUUGCAAUUAUGUGAAUUGUAUGUGAAACUCUUUACUUGUAUGGUUAUUCUAAAGUUGUCCCUAGUCGGAGUUCAUGUGAGGACACACAUGAAUAUUAGACUAGCACAUGUAUUAGUUGAUGACUAUGUUUCACAAGUCAUGGACAUGGAGAUGUUGAACUAAUAAUGUGGACACAUGUGGAGACAUGUGUUAGGACUGACCCAACACGAGAAGUAGUUCUCUCUUUAAACAACAUAUACGCUUUGUCCUUAGACCUGAGAUUGUCGCAUGUAUUCUAGAUGUGGAUCGACCUACUUAGGGGCUAUCAAACGCUACGCCGUAACAGGGUAGUUAUAAAGGUAGCUUUCGGGUUUGUCAAGAAGCAUGCUAUGAGACAUGGUCAAUCAAGAAGGGAUUUGCCCCUCUCUGAUUGAGAGUGAUAUCUCUGGGCCCCUCGAGUGAUCGGAUCCGAAAAUGCAUGGCCAUGCUACGUAUGGUUAAGAGUUAACCUACAAAGGGAUUCCGAAUCACAGGAUCGAGAAAGAGCGGUCGGCUUGAAGCUAGACCAAAUAUCGUGAGGCAAAGGGAAUAGCAUGUAUAUUAUGUUGUGAUGGUUCGUCUGAUAUGAUCUUCGUGUGCGUAUAGGAGUUGGCACGUCUUGCUAGAGGCCGCUACCGACUAUUGGGCCGAGUAGGAGUACUCGGGCCAUGUCUAUACGUAUCCGAACCCAUAGGGUCACACACUUAAGGGGCUGGAAGCCCAAUUCGGAUCUGAUCUGAGUUGGAUUAGGUUUAGGAGUACUAAUGGGCCUCGGAUCCAGAGGCCCGUCAGGAACCCCUAUAAAUAGAGGGGUGGGGGCGCCCUAGGGUUUACACCUUUUGGCGAAACAUACCUGCCGCGCCUCCCACGCCCUCGCCUGUUGCAACUCGCGGAUCUAGCAGUCCGGCUUGCGACGCUUCCUCCCUGCACGUGUGGAUACCUUGGAGGUGUUGCGCCUGCAGCACUUGGACGAGCCAUUGACGAGCCGCCGACGAGCCACGACGAGCCGACGACGAGCCGCGGCACCGGAGGCGAUCUUGCUGUGCACGUGGACGAGCUGCUGAGGAGCUGCUGGACGUGAUCGACUACGUACGACUACGUUGAUCGACUACGUACAACUACGUGAUCGUCUUCACUGCACCGACGCAUAUCUACAUCUUCCGCACCAGUAGUGCGUCGAGUGGUAAUCCCGUGAUCCUUAUACGGCAGUUCUUCCUGGUUAUACGCGGUAGAAAUUUUGAUUUGCGCUAGCGUAGCCUACCUCGUAUCCCAACAGUAGGGAGGUUCAAGAGAGCUGGUGGUGAUCAAGAGGCAAGGGUUGGAAAGGAACUUAUGACCUGAUCCUUGAACUAGAGGAUGUGGUAUACUCGGGAUCCUCAGACGCAAGCGCUGAAGGGUUCCUAAAUUUUACACAUACACCCUCGGGUUGAAGAAAAGAUCACAGUCGGACCCUCGGGCGAGGCGGAUAAGGGUUGGCGGAACAGAUAGGGUCGGGCGAGACGGAACCGGGGUCGGGCGGAUAGGAGGGGUCGGGCGAAGCGGACUGGAGUUGGCAGCUUACCUUCUUCCUAAAAGGAAGGCUUGGGGUCGGGAAGAAGCAGACUUGGGUGGAGGGACUAAAGCUUUGAACAACGGCUAAGACCGGAAACGCUACGGCGGCAGCGGUGCUUCUUGCAGAUCACAAGAGAGCUUUUACGCAGCACGGAGGAGCAAGCGGCUGGGUGACUUGGAGAAAACUGAGGGAGAAUCUGAGAGCCGAGUGUGGCGGAACCACCUCGGAUUAGCUUGAUUAACCAGGGUUAAGCCGCCUAACAUGCGACACCACUGCCUAAACUGAGUUAAUACGAAGUGCCGUCGGAUUUCGCCCGAUUUAACCACUUAAACACGAUCGAGUUCAGCAACCCACACGAAGGUGAGCGGUUACAGAGAAUACAACGAGUCCACGGAUUUUUGAACAAGUUUUACUCAUUUGGUUCCACCAUAAAAUCCAACAUUAGGGUUUUACAAGUUUUCAAGAAACAACAGAGAAAACACUAGCGGAAGACUUCGUCGGGGUCGGACGUCCGGGCGAGGCCAGCCAGAACAUCACUGAAUCCUCUCCUCGCCGUCCGAGGAGGGGUCCCACUCGACCGUCCAGCCUGGCGGGAGCUGGGGCGGCCAAGCGCCAACAAGGGAGGGGUCGGGAACUGCAACUUCACCUGAAAAACAUGAGCCACAACAAGGCUGAGCUACUAAGCUCAACAAGACUUAACCGAGGAGGAGCCAACUACUCUUCCAACUAGACAUGCAAGGCUUCUUGGCUGAGGGGUUUGAUUUGCCAAAAGCACUAAGUAACCUAUUUUCAAGUUUUAGCUUCGGUUCUAUAUUUACUUACCAGUCUAGGUUGUGCAACCUAUUCUAAGCAAACAUCGAGCCAAACAGGUGUGUAGGUAAAAACAACAACAUUGCCAUUAUCAGAUUCCUCAUUUACU
rnacentral:lncRNA from 1 species